rnacentral:lncRNA from 1 species
GGCCCCACCACCACCGUCAGAACCUGAAGUGCCAGAGCCACCGGGUGAACCCGUGGUGCCGGAGCCGCCAUCCAAAGAUCCUAAGAAGAAGCCGCCACCGCCGCCAUAUGAACGUGGCAUGCCGGUGCCGCCCUCGAGAGAACACAAGAAGAAGCUGCCGCCAGCUGCCGACCAGUGAGCAAAUGGUCUAGUCCGCCUAUCCGAGGAAAAUGAUUUUAAUAAGAGAGGAAUUAAUCAACGCUUGACUUGUACACAUGCAUAAUUGAUUGCAUGACAAUAAUAAUAAUCCUUUUUUGAACUGAGUAAUAAUAAUCUUGGUACUGUUAAAGGGACCCUAUCGCUGUGAUGGUUCCACCUUCUCGCACCCCUCCUACAUUCCCAUGCAGCCAACACUAAUCUUUUUUCCCUCGUACGAACCCCGCAUAUCCAACGAGUUGUUGGAGAUACGCCCUAGAGGCAAUUAUGUAUGAUGAUAUUUCCUAUGUGUUUACGAGUAAAGAUAAUCCUUGGACAUUAUCAAUGAUGUAUAUCAAUAAGUACGUGACUUGUUUUUGAGACUAUGCAUUGUAUGAUGACUGUCCUAAAAGGUCCCUAGUCGCAAGGGCUGUGUGGACGCGCAGCUGACUAGACUAGCAUAUGACACGGUGGAUGGCUCGGUCUCACUAGCCAUGGAGCAUUGGAUGCUAACCGGAUACUAUGAACUUGGAAAGGUCUGGUCAGAUUCGACAUAGUCGGAUCCGAGUCGAUAUAAGGUAUGAGUCGGAUAGACCCAACUAUGAGACGCAGCGAUAUGUUAUCUGUGAGUCUCUAGUGCAACAUACGUUCUAUGUCCUAGGACCAGAGCUGACCCAUGUACUCGGGAUGGUGGCAGGCCUGCUUUGGGCUGACCAAACGCUACUCCAUGACUGGGUAGUUAUAAAGGUAGGUUUCGGGCUUGUCCAGACCAUGUUGCGAGACAUGAUCGUGCAAGAUGGGAUUUUCCCCUCCGAUCAGGAGAGAUAUACUCUGGACCCCUCGUAUGAUCCGACCAAGAUAAGCAUGGCCAUGCGAUAAGGAUUAUGAGAUAAUCUGGUUAGUGGUCGGCAUCACUGGAAUGAGAAAGAGGUCGGGCUAGCACAAGGAUGACAAACUCGCCUUCAGCCCGACAACAUAUAUCGUGUGGCAAAGGGAACAAAAGUGUGAUGUACAUGUUCGCCAACCAGCUUCAUAGUCUGCUUGGUGGUCGGCACGCCUUGCUAGAGGCCGCUACCAACCGUGUGUUCGGGAACGUAGCAAUAAUUCAAAAUUUUCUACGCAUCACCAAGAUCAAUCUAUGGAGUUUACUAGCAACGAGAGGGGAGGAGUGCAUCUACAUACCCUUGUAGAUCGCGAGCGGAAGCGUUCAAGAGAACGGGGUUGAUGGAGUCGUACUCGUCGUGAUCCAAAUCACCGAUGAUCCAAGCGCCGAACGGACGGCACCUCCGCGUUCAACCCACGUACGGAGCGGUGACGUCUCCCAUGCCUUGAUCCAGCAAGGAGGAGGGAGAGGUUGAGGAAGAAGGCUCCAACAGCAGCACGACGGCAUGGUGGUGAUGGAGUGACAGUUCUCCGGCAGGGCUUCGCCAAGCACACGCGGAGGAGGAGAGGUGUUGGGGAGGGGAGGGGCUGCGCCUUGGAUGUGGUGCUGCAGCCCUCCCCUCACCCCUCUAUUUAUAGGGAGAAGGGGGAAGGGGGCCGGCCCCUCUAGAUGGGAUCUAGACGGGGGGCGGCGGCCAAGGGGGAGGUGGCUUGCCCCCCAAGCAAGGGGGGGGGGGGCGCCCCCUUUAGGGUUUCCCCCAAACCCCAGGCGCAUGGGCCCUAGGGGGGUUGGCGCCCAGCCCACUAAGGGCUGGUUCCCUUCCACCUACAGCCCAUAAGGCCCUCCGAGGCAGGCGGACCCUCCCGGUGGACCCCCGGAACCCCUCCGGUGGUCCCGGUACAAUACCGGUAUACCCCCGAAUAUUUCCGGUGACCGUAUGGUGACUUCCCAUAUAUAAAUCUUUACCUCCGGACCAUUUCGGAACUCCUUGUGACGUCCGGGAUCUCAUCCGGGACUCCGAACAACAUUCGGUAAUCACAUACAAACCUUCCUUAUAACCCUAGCGUCAUCGAACCUCAAGUGUGUAGACCCUACGGGUUCGGGAAUCAUGCAGACAUGACCGAGACACCUCUCUGGCCAAUAACCAACAGCGGGAUCUGGAUACCCAUGUUGGCUCCCACAUGUUCCACGAUGAUCUCAUCGGAUGAACCACGAUGUCGAGGAUUCAAGCAAUCCCGUAUACAAUUCCCUUUGUCAAUCGGUACGUUACUUGCCCAAGAUUCGAUCAUCGGUAUCCUAAUACCUCGUUCAAUCUCGUUGCCGGCAAGUCACUUUACUCGUUCCGUAAUGCAUGAUCCCGUGACUAACUACUUAGUCACAUUGAGCUCAUUAUGAUGAUGCAAUACCGAGUGGGCCCAGAGAUACCUCUCCGUAAUACGGAGUGACAAAUCCCAGUCUCGUUCCGAGCCAACCCAACAGACACUUUCGGAGAUACCUGUAGUGCACCUUUAUAGCCACCCAGUUACGUCGUGACGUUUGGUACACCCAAAGCAUUCCUACGGUAUCCGGGAGUUGCACGAUCUCAUCGUCUAAGGAAAUGAUACUUGACAUUAGAAAAGCUUCAGCAAACGAACUACAUGAUCUAGUGCUAUGCUUAUGAUUGGGUCUUGUCCAUCACAUCAUUCUCCUAAUGAUGUGAUCCCGUUAUCAAUGACAUCCAAUGUCCAUGGUCAGGAAACCGUAACCAUCUAUUGAUCAACGAGCUACUCAACUAGAGGCUCACUAGGGACAUGUUAUGGUCUAUGUGUUCACACAUGUAUUACGAUUUCCGGAUAACACAAUUAUAGCAUGAACAGUAGACAAUUAUCAUGAACAAGGAAAUAUAAUAAUAACCAUUUUAUUAUUGCCUCUAGGGCAUAUUUCCAACAGUCCCCCACUUGCACUAGAGUCAAUAAUCUAGUUACAUUGUGAUGAAUCGUACACCCAUAGAGUUCUGGUGUUGAUCAUGUUUUGCCCGUGGAAGAGGUUUAGUCAACGGAUCUGCGACAUUCAAAUCCGUAUGUACUUUACAAAUAUCUAUGUCUCCAUUUUGAACAUUUUCACGAACUGAGUUGAAGCGACGCUUGAUGUGCCUGGUCUUCUUGUGAAACCUGGGGUCUUUGGCAAGGGCAAUAGCUCCAGUGUUGUCACCGAAGAGAGUCAUCGGCCCCGAUGCAUUGGGAAUAACUCCUAGGUCGGCAAUGAACUCCUUCAUCCAGAUUGCUUCAUGUGCUGCCUCCGAGGCUGCCAUGUACUCCGCUUCACAUGUAGAUCCUGCCACGACGCUUUGCUUGCAACUGCACCAGCUGACCGCCCUACCAUUCAAAAUAUACACGUAUCCGGUUUGUGACUUAGAGUCAUCCAGAUCUGUGUCGAAGCUAGCAUCGACGUAACCCUUUACGACGAGCUCUUCGUCACCUCCAUAAACGAGAAACAUAUCCUUAGUCCUUUUCAGGUACUUCAGGAUGUUCUUGACCGCUGUCCAGUGUUCCAUGUCGGGAUUACUUUGGUACCUUCCUACCAGACUUACGGCAAGGUUUACAUCAGGUCUGGUACACAGCAUGGCAUACAUAAUAGACCCUAUGGCCGAGGCAUAGGGGACGACACUCAUCUUUUCUCUAUCUUCUGCCGUGGUCGGGCAUUGAGCCGUGCUCAAUCUCACACCUUGCAAUACAGGCAAGAACCCCUUCUUGGACUGAUCUAUAUUGAACUUCUUCAAUAUCUUGUCAAGGUAUGUGCUUUGUGAAAGACCUAUGAGGCGUCUCGAUCUAUCUCUAUAGAUCUUGAUGCCUAAUAUGUAAGCAGCUUCUCCAAGGUCCUUCAUUGAAAAACACUUAUUCAAGUAGGCCUUUAUACUUUCCAAGAAUUCUAUAUCAUUUCCCAUCAAUAGUAUGUCAUCCACAUAUAAUAUGAGAAAUGCUACAGAGCUCCCACUCACUUUCUUGUAAACACAGGCUUCUCCAUAAGUCUGUGUAAACCCAAACGCUUUGACAUCUCAUCAAAGCGAAUGUUCCAACUCCGAGAUGCCUGCACCAGCCCAUAAAUUGAGCGCUGGAGCUUGCAUACUUUGUCAGCAUUCUUAGGACCGAUAAAACCUUCCGGCUGCAUCAUAUACAAUUCUUCCUUAAGGAAGCCGUUAAGGAAUGCCGUUUUGACGUCCAUUUGCCAUAUUUCAUAAUCGUAGAAUGCGGCAAUUGCUAACAUGAUUCGGACGGACUUCAGCUUCGCUACGGGUGAGAAGGUCUCAUCGUAGUCAACUCCUUGAACUUUUCGAUAACCCUUAGCGACAAGUCGAGCUUUAUAGAUGGUAACAUUUCCAUCCGCGUCCGUCUUCUUCUUAAAGAUCCAUUUAUUUUCUAUCGCUCGCCGAUCAUCGGGCAAGUCUGUCAAAGUCCACACUUUGUUUUCAUACAUGGAUCCUAUCUCAGAUUGCAUGUCUUCAAGCCAUUUGUUGGAAUCUGGACCCGCCAUUGCUUCUUCAUAGUUCGAAGGUUCACCGUUGUCCAACAACAUGAUUUCCAGGACAGGGUUGCCGUACCACUCUGGUGCGGAACGUGUCCUUGUGGACCUACGAAGUUCAGUGGUAACUUGAUCAUGAUCGUCAUCAUUAACUUCCUCUCUAGUCGGUGCACGCACCACAUAAACAUUUUCUUGUGCUGCGCUACUUUCUGGUUCGAGAGGGGUCAUCUCAUCAAGUUCUACUUUCCUCCCACUUACUUCUUUUGAGAGAAACUCUUUCUCCAGAACGGACCCGUUCUUGGCAACGAAAAUCUUUCCUUCGGAUCUGAGGUAGAAGGUAUACCCAAUGGUUUCCUUAGGGUAUUCUAUGAAGACGCAUUUUUCCGACUUGGGUUCGAGCUUUUCAGGUUGAAGUUUCUUGACAUAAGCAUCGCAUCCCCAAACUUUAAGAAACGGCAGCUUAGGUUUCUUUCCAAACCACAAUUCAUACGGUGUCGUCUCAACGGAUUUCGACGGAGCCCUAUUUAAAGUGAAUGCGGCAGUCUCUAAAGCAUAACCCCAGAAUGAUAGCGGUAGAUCGGUAAGAGACAUCAUAGAUCGCACCAUAUCCAAUAGAGUGCGAUUACGACGUUCGGACACACCAUUACGCUGAGGUGUUCCAGGCGGCGUGAGUUGUGAAACAAUUCCACAUUUCCUUAAGUGUGUGCCAAAUUCGUGACUCAAAUAUUCCCCUCCACGAUCUGAUCGUAAGAACUUUAUUUUCCUGUCACGUUGAUUCUCAACCUCACUCUGAAAUUCCUUAAACUUUUCAAAGGUCUCAGACUUGUGUUUCAUUAAGUAGACAUACCCAUAUCUACUCAAGUCAUCAGUGAGGGUGAGAACAUAACGAUAGCCACCGCGAGCCUCAACGCUCAUUGGACCGCACACAUCAGUAUGUAUGAUUUCCAAUAAGUUGGUUGCUCGCUCCAUUGUUCCGGUGAACGGAGUCUUGGUCAUUUUGCCCAUGAGGCAUGGUUCGCAUGUGUCAAAUGAUUCAUAAUCAAGAGACUCCAAAAGUCCAUCUGCAUGGAGUUUCUUCAUGCGUUUGACACCAAUGUGACCAAGGCGGCAGUGCCACAAGUAUGUGGGACUAUCAUUAUCAACCUUACAUUUCUUGGCAGUCACACUAUGAAUAUGUGUAACAUCACGUUCGAGAUUCAUUAAGAAUAAACCAUUGACCAGCGGGGCAUGACCAUAAAACAUAUCUCUCAUAUAAAUAGAACAACCAUUAUUCUCGGAUUUAAAUGAGUAGCCAUCUCGCAUUAAACGAGAUCCAGAUACAAUGUUCAUGCUCAAAGCUGGCACUAAAUAACAAUUAUUGAGGUUUAAAACUAGUCCCGUAGGUAAAUGUAGAGGUAGCGUGCCGACGGCGAUCACAUCGACCUUGGAACCAUUCCCGACGCGCAUCGUCACCUCGUCCUUCGCCAGUCUCCGCUUAUUCCGCAGCUCCUGCUUUGAGUUACAAAUAUGAGCAACCGCACCGGUAUCAAAUACCCAGGAGCUACUACGAGCGCUAGUUAGGUACACAUCUAUAACAUGUAUAUCACAUAUACGUUUGGUAUUGCCGGCCUUCUUAUCCGCUAAGUACUUGGGGAAGUUCCGCUUCCAGUGACCGUUUCCCUUGCAAUAAAAGCACUCAGUCUCAGGCUUGGGUCCAUUCUUUGUCUUCUUCCCGGCAGCUUGCUUACCGGGCGCGGCAACUCCCUUGCCGUCUUUCUUGAAGUUCUUCUUGCCCUUGCCUUUCUUGAACUUAGUGGUUUUAUUCACCAUCAACACUUGAUGUUCCUUUUUGAUCUCCACCUCCGCUGAUUUCAGCAUUGAAUAUACCUCAGGAAUGGUCUUUUCCAUCCCCUGCAUAUUGAAGUUCAUCACAAAGCUUUUGUAGCUAGGUGGGAGCGACUGAAGGAUUCUGUCAACGACCGCGUUAUCCGGGAGAUUAACUCCCAGCUGAGACAAGCGGUUGUGCAACCCAGACAUUUUGAGUAUGUGUUCGCUGACGGAACUAUUCUCCUCCAUCUUACAACUGUAGAACUUGUCGGAGACUUCGUAUCUCUCGACCCGGGCAUGAGCUUGGAAAUCCAUUUUCAGCUCUUGGAACAUCUCAUAUGCUCCGUGCUGCUCAAAACGCUUUUGGAGCCCCGGUUCUAAGCUGUAAAGCAUGCCGCACUGAACCAGGGAGUAAUCAUCACUACGUGAUUGCCAGGCGUUCAGAACGUCUUGAGUUGCUGGGAAAACAGGUGCAUCACCUAGCGGUGCUUCAAGGACAUAUGCUUUCUUGGCAGCUAUGAGGAUAAUCCUCAGGUUACGGACCGAGUCCGUGUAGUUGCUACCAUCGUCUUUCAGCUUGGUUUUCUCUAGGAACGCGUUGAAGUUGAGGGCAACAUUAGCGUGGGCCAUUUGAUCUACAAGACAUAUUGUAAAGGUUUUUAGACUAAGUUCAUGAUAAUAAAGUUCAUCUAAUCAAAUUACUAACGAACUCCCACUCAGACAGACAUCCCUCUAGUCAUCUAAGUGAUACAUGAUCCGAGUCAACUAGGCCAUGUCCGAUCAUCACGUGAGACGGACUAGUCAUCAUCGGUGAUCAUCUUCAUGUUGAUCGUAUCUGCUAUACGACUCAUGUUCGACCUUUCGGUCUCUUGUGUUCCGAGGCCAUGUCUGUACAUGCUAGGCUCGUCAAGUCAACCUAAGUGUAUUGCGUGUGUAAAUCUGGUUUACACCCGUUGUAUGCGAACGUUAGAACCUAUCACACCCGAUCAUCACGUGGUGCUUCGGAACAACGAACCUUCGCAACGGUGCACAGUUAGGGGGAACACUUUCUUGAAAUUUUAGCGAGGGAUCAUCUUAUUUAUGCUACCGUCGUUCUAAGCAAAUAAGAUGUAAAACAUGAUAAACAUCACAUGCAAUCAAAUAGUGACAUGAUAUGGCCAAUAUCAUUUUGCUCCUUUUGAUCUCCAUCUUCAGGGCGCCAUGUUCAUCAUCGUCACCGGCAUGACACCAUGAUCUCCAUCAUCGUGUCUUCAUGAAGUUGUCUCGCUAAUUAUUACUUCUACUACUAUGGCUAACGGUUAGCAAUAAAGUAAAGUAAUUACAUGACGUUUCAGUUGACACGCAGGUCAUAAAUAAAUUAAGACAACUCCUAGGCUCCUGCCGGUUGUCAUACUCAUCGACAUGCAAGUCGUGAUUCCUAUUACAAGAACAUGAUCAAUCUCAUACAUCACAUAUAUCAUUCAUCACAUCCUUCUGGCCAUAUCACAUCACAUAACACUUGCUGCAAAAACAAGUUAGACGUCCUCUAAUUGUUGUUGCAAACUUUUACGUGGCUGCUAUAGGUUUCUAGCAAGAACGAUUCUUACCUACGCCAAAACCACAACGUGAAAUGCCAAUUUCUAUUUACCCUUCAUAAGGACCCUUUUCAUCGAAUCCGAUCCGACUAAAGUGGGAGAGAUAGACACCCGCUAGCCACCUUAUGCAACUAGUGCAUGUCAGUCGGUGGAACCUGUCUCACGUAAGCGUACGUGUAAGGUCGGUCCGGGCCGCUUCAUUCCACGAUGGCGCCGAAUCAAGAUAAGACUAGUAACGGCAAGUAAAUUGACAAAAUCAACGCCCACAACAACUUGUGUUCUACUCGUGCAUAGAAACUACGCAUAAACCUGGCUCAUGAUGCCACUGUUGGGGAACGUAACAAUAAUUCAAAAUUUUCUACGCAUCACCAAGAUCAAUCUAUGGAGUUUACUAGCAACGAGAGGGGAGGAGUGCAUCUACAUACCCUUGUAGAUCGCGAGCGGAAGCGUUCAAGAGAACGGGGUUGAUGGAGACGUACUCGUCGUGAUCCAAAUCACCGAUGAUCCAAGCGCCGAACGGACGGCACCUCCGCGUUCAACACACGUACGGAGCGGUGACGUCUCCCACGCCUUGAUCCAGCAAGGAGGAGGGAGAGGUUGAGGAAGAAGGCUCCAACAGCAGCACGACGGCGUGGUGGUGAUGGAGUGACAGUUCUCCGGCAGGGCUUCGCCAAGCACACGCGGAGGAGGAGAGGUGUUGGGGAGGGGAGGGGCUUCGCCUUGGAUGUGGUGCUGCAGCCCUCCCCUCACCCCUCUAUUUAUAGGGAGAAGGGGGAAGGGGGCCGGCCCCUCUAGAUGGGAUCUAGAGGGGGGCGGCGGCCAAGGGGGAGGUGGCUUGCCCCCCAAGCAAGGGGGGGAGGGGCGCCCCCUUUAGGGUUUCCCCCAAACCCUAGGCACAUGGGCCCUAGGGGGUUGGCGCCCAGCCCACUAAGGGCUGGUUCCCUUCCACCUACAGCCCAUAAGGCCCUCCGGGGCAGGUGGACCCUCCCGGUGGACCCCCGGAACCCCUCCGGUGGUCCCGGUACAAUACCGGUAUACCCUCGAAUAUUUCCGGUGACCGUAUGGUGACUUCCCAUAUAUAAAUCUUUACCUCCGGACCAUUCCGGAACUCCUCGUGACGUCCGGGAUCUCAUCUGGGACUCCGAACAACAUUCGGUAAUCACAUACAAACCUUCCUUAUAACCCUAGCGUCAUCGAACCUUAAGUGUGUAGACCCUACGGGUUCGGGAAUCAUGCAGACAUGACCAAGACACCUCUCUGGCCAAUAACCAACAGCGGGAUCUGGAUACCCAUGUUGGCUCCCACAUGUUCCACGAUGAUCUCAUUGGAUGAACCACGAUGUCGAGGAUUCAAGCAAUCCCGUAUACAAUUCCCUUUGUCAAUCGGUACUUUACUUGCCCGAGAUUCGAUCGUCGGUAUCCCAAUACCUCGUUCAAUCUCGUUACCGGCAAGUCACUUUACUCGUUCCGUAAUGCAUGAUCCCGUGACUAACUACUUAGUCACAUUGAGCUCAUUAUGAUGAUGCAUUACCGAAUGGGCCCAGAGAUACCUCUCCGUCAUACGGAGUGACAAAUCCCAGUCUCGAUCCGAGCCAACCCAACAGACACUUUCGGAGAUACCUGUAGUGCACCUUUAUAGCCACCCAGUUACGUCAUGACGUUUGGUACACCCAAAGCAUUCCUACGGUAUCCGGGAGUUGCACGAUCUCAUCGUCUAAGGAAAUGAUACUUGACAUUAGAAAAGCUUCAGCAAACGAACUACACGAUCUAGUGCUAUGCUUAGGAUUGGGUCUUGUCCAUCACAUCAUUCUCCUAAUGAUGUGAUCCCGUUAUGAAUGACAUCCAAUGUCCAUGAUCAGGAAACCGUAACCAUCUAUUGAUCAACGAGCUAGUCAACUAGAGGCUCACUAGGGACAUGUUAUGGUCUAUGUGUUCACACAUGUAUUACGAUUUUCGGAUAACACAAUUAUAGCAUGAACAAUAGACAAUUAUCAUGAACAAGGAAAUAUAAUAAUAACCAUUUUAUUAUUGCCUCUAUGGCAUAUUUCCAACACCGUGCAGGUCGGAGGUGAUGCGAACUAUGGCCAAGCUGACAUGAACCUAAGGGGUCGCGCGCUUAAGGGAAGGAACCUACGAGGUCGGAUCCGAGGACACUGAUCGGAUGUGAUCCGAGCUGAACUUGGAUUGUGGCCGAGUAGACUUGUGGGCUUUAGGAUUCGUGUGAGUCCCAAGUGUUGAGCCCAUGAGGGAUGCCUAUAUAUAGUGGGGGUGCGGCACACUCAUUCGGUUGAUCGCUUCAGCGCCGUCACUAGGGUUUUGCAUGUGUUGCAACUAUCCACAUCCACUCACCGACGACUGUGUGAUCGGACCUAGCAGUCCGCCGCAUGGUGUUCCUCCUACACGUGCGGAUAUCGUUAGAGACGGCGCACUUACGCCGCUCCGGCAAACCUGUUUGGGCGAUCCGAUCGACUGCGUGGGAGAUCGACGAGGAGGAGACGACUCGGGAGACGCGCUGCCUCAACUCUACUUCUGCUGCACGGCACUGCGCGUCUAGUGGUAACGAUCUGUGAUCCAUCUCUGUAGCAUGUUUCUGGAUGUUCUGCGGGUAGGAAAAUUUUAAUUUGCGGUCAACGCACCCUACCAUAGAACCCAACACAAGCCAACACCUAUUUUUCCCUUGUGUGACCCUUCCUCGGUCUCUCCCACCCAGCCCACCGAUCCUCCCAUCCACGCUCGGAAAUAAGCAAAGGAAAAGGAAAAGGGAGACGUUUCAGGACGACAGGCCGGCGGAAACUUCAGCCACUAGUCAUGGGAUUAGUUUUGAUCCAACUGACCAUACUGCAUUUCACGCAGGUCCACAUACCUCCCAUCUCUCCCUUAUCUCUUCACAUAUGACGCAAACUCCUCCACAGCAGCCAUGGCCACUACCUCCAGCGCGGGGCCAUGGCCGAGCCCACCUGGCGACGCGACUGCUCGCACACGCAAAACACCAUGUGCCUGAAGCGGUUGGGGAGGUAGUCGGGGCAGGAGGACCGUGUGUUGCAUCCUUGCUGGUGAUUGGGGAUGGCGAGCUAAGGAGUCGGCAACAGAGCAUGCUACAACUGACGGCGGGGGAGCUGGAACCUGGAUGGAGGGAGCUGCAACCGGUGCCCAAGAGAGCUGCAAUCAUGGACGGCGAGCGCGGGGACCAUAGGCUGUGAAGACGGCGGUGCUGCUCCGAGCGACACCCGACGUCCCGGUUUUUUGCUAAUGCUACAACCCGCGUCAUAAAUUGCUACAACUGGUGUGUCCCAUCGCGCUGCAACUGGCAUCGCAUUUUGCUACAUCGCGUAGAAUGUCCUAUGUUUUGCUACAUCCAGCAUAGCCAAAUGCUACAACCGCCGUCAUGGCAAGCUGCAAUUGGAAGUGCGGCGAGUUGUGAUGGCUUAGCGGCGAGACGGUUUUUGUAGCAACCGACGCUUGAAUUUGCUAGAACCAGGCGAGGGAGACGUUGCAACGGUGUGGUGCGACCGAGUAGCUUAGACACCGGGCGUGUGCGACGAUGAGCACGCCGCCGAGCUGCGGCUGCCGCCACCGGAGCUACAACAGUGGGCCAUAGUUGUUGCAUGCAUGCGUGGAGUGGGCGACAAAUGCAGGCGGUGGCCGGCGGCAAGUGCGCCAACCGGCGACGAGGACGGUCGGCAAUGGCGGCAACCGGUGAGGAGGAAUGAGGUGGUCGGCUCAUCGCUGGAUGUGUUAAGAGGCAAGGGGAAGAAGACGAAGAGCGAUGCAAGUGGGCACCCAGCGAACCGAUUUCUUCCUUCCACGAGCCACCGAGCUGUUUUCUAGACCGUAUGGCUGCAUGCACGAUCGUACGGCUGUGCGGUGACCGGCCCAAUUUGGGCCGAUCGACCGGCUCGUGUUGGUUGGCGCACUACCCACGAACACAUGUCCACACACCCCAUCUCCCCUAUCACGUCACUCUGCCCACACCCGAGAAAAUUCGUUUGAGCACCAAAGUGUCGCAGGCUGCAACAUCCUUUGACAUAGAGACAAGCGCAUGCAGGGAAAGAGACAUGAGCGGGAGGGGGAUGGGGUCAACGCCCCCGUGAGCAUGUUGUCGACCGCUGCUGGAGGGGGAUUAUGAUGGGGUUAAUUUGAAGCAUGGGGAGAGAGCACUAAGGAAGGGCGUCACAUUGGGGAUCGAUUUGGCCUUGAUCCGGGUCGCUAGAAUACAAGCCAUGCCCAAGCCACUCUAUGGACGCCCCAGACUGAGGUCGCGGCUCGCCGUGGGUGCAUCCACAUCGGCGCGGUGGCGUGCAGUUCCUGCACCCAGCGUAAGCUGUGAAACCUGGGAAAGACGCGAGAUCAGAUGUUCCUCACAACCUGAAGACGUGAGCUAUGCCACUGCUCCUGGUAUGUGUGUUACUUCCGCUGGGUGAUGCUCUGUUGCCCUCCUAGGUAUCUUCUUUACUUCUCUUGCUGCUCGAUGAAGCUGGUCGUGCUGCUAGUUUUGCACGCUAUGGAGUUUCUAUCUCUACAUACGAUAAAUUUAGUAUCGGUCUACACAUGUGUUUGUACCAAUGUUCAAGACCUAGGUGAUGAUAUAGUUUUGACUUAUAAUGAUCAGAUUAUGUAUACCUUUUUGGGGGAUACAUUAUUAAGUACUGGGAAAAGAGGUGUAUGUAUUGUAUCUCGGUGUGGAACAUUCAUUUUUAACUGAAUCUAUAUGUUUAUUCAAUCUGAACUUAGAUGUUUUAUUUAGCUUGUACUCGUUCUGUAAAGAAAUAUAAGAUCGUUUAGAUCACUAUACUAGCUUCUGAUUUCCUAUGCUGCAAAUUGUAAUUGAUUUUCUUUAAUUAGUUGUGGACUUUCAUACUACAGUUGGCUAAUGCACUUAAUUGGUAUCAUUUCUAGUUUGAUAAUAAAUGCAUGUAUGUCUAAUUUGGAUCUUGGCUAGAGCAUCAACUGUGUGAGAAAUUAAUGCAGCUAAAGUAUUGGACUCAUCUAUAGAUUGGCAUCAUUCUAGUUUACACCUUAACCUAAUAAUUGAGAUUGGGACCCCUUUCCUAAUUAAUGAUAAUCAUUGUAAUCAGUAAUUGAUUCAGUAUUACUUGGGAAUAAGUAGGGAUAUUUUCACUCCAAAAUAUUCCAAUUUUGUGGAACUUGACCAGUCAGGAUCAAUUCUUCCAUUCCACAGCUUGCUUCGUUAUGGAGCAAUAAUCCAUGACUCCAGAUGUUGGAGUUUCUCCCUUUCAGUUUCCUUGGAUGUUGAAGUGUAUGGUUCGGAACUUCAUCUAUGGAUUUGGUUUGGUUCAUGCAAAGAAUUGGUAGACAUUUUUGUUAAUUUGGUAGGCCCUUUGCAGCAGUAGAUUCUUUUUCAUGUAGAUAUGCCAUGCUUACUAUUUGACAUGAAUACUUCGUGUUGUGCUUAUUAGCUCUAAUAUACUUUGUGUUUACUUAUACUAGCGGCUGGGGUGUGCCUCGGGUGCACCUCUUGAGGCGUAACUGUGUGGACAAAUCAAGUUGUUGUAGUUGUUAAUGUGUUGACAGUGCAUAUAAGAGAAAAUGGUUAAAAAUAUAACACAACUCUGAGAAUAGAAAAUUAAUAGUGAUUCUGGAGCAACUCGGUGCAACAUGAAAUGAAUCAAUAUUUACCAUGCCAUUGAGAUCAAAAGAACAAACAAACGAACUUUACAAACUUUGUAAAUUAUUUAGCUAAUCCAAGACCCUUCCAAACACUAUUUUGAUCACACUACAUAUUAUAUAAAUUUGGCCAGCUUUGGCAAAAAUCAAGAACAAUAUCGAGCUCUAGCAAUUGGUUGGAGCAAAGAACAUAGAGCCCCCUUUCAGGGAAAUUAGAGAGAGAAGUUAGACUAGCCUUAGGCCAAUGGGACGCAAACCUUUAUGUUUUUCUUUUAUCUCUUUUGUCCAUAUUAUCAUUUGAUCAAACCCAAUUUACCAGUUGCCGCUGCUAAAUCAAUAAACGCUGGCAACAUGCUGGAUGUUUCAAAAACAAUUGGUUAGCUAUAAUCAUACAUCAUUUAGCAAACAACAAAGGUAUGAUUACAAAAGAUGAAAGCACCUUACAUGAGGUGAUUUUUCCAAAGUUGGCGAACAAGUAUGGUAGCUGAUCAUCUAAAAUGCCAUCAUGAGAAUUUUCCAAGCACAAGUUUCUUCUUUGAUAUUUCUCCACUGCAUUUUUCAUGCCUUGCUCAAAUCUUAUGUUCAAGUCUAUGUCCCUUUUAGGUUUCUUAUGAGCUUUAUCAACAUACCACUUUAUUAGAAUACAAAACAAAAAUCAUGAAGUGUAAACUUACAUGCAUGGUGAUAUUAUGCAUAUAGAAACAGAAGUUCAGAAUUGAAAAACUAAAUCAAUCGUUAGACGAGAUGUACCAUCAUUUUCCAGCAAGGGUUGGACCAUCUCAGACAUGGAGAGUUUUCUCUCCAACUAUCAGCAGUGCAACCGACGCAAAUUAUGAACACCAAACUCCGUUGUGAUGCAAGAUUGUGUUAAGAAUCAGUUCAACCUUUCUCUAUAAUAGAAUAAUUGUCCACUUCAAAAAGUACAAAUUUUCACUUUGAAUCAUAGCAAUAAUCUAUGCAUGCUGCUUUUUUCACAAUGGAUAACUUACUGACUGUUUAGCUGCCCACCGUUGAUAAUAAUGGAUAACUAAGUUGGUUCUAACUUUUGCUCCUGAUUUCUUGAGCGACGAGUUCCAAAUGUGUGAACCUUUUGAGUUUUGUGGGCAUCAAGCAAUGAACAUGCAACCUGGUAAUGUGACUGAUUUUUUGUAUUUGUAUAUUAUGUAAACAAUGGACAAGUAUUUAUCCAUUAUUUUUUAGUUUGUAAACUAAAAUUGAUUACAUAGCAAAAUUCAAUGGUCUAUCCAUAACGCCAAUAACCAAAAUUAUUAAGCUAAAAAAGUCGAAAUGGUUAACUAGUUAUUCAACAGCGCCGUAAAGCAUGCCUAUACAUCUAGUGCCCUCAUCAAUGUUGAUGGCUAACAUAGGCGAGUCACUGCCAAGGAUGUUCACUCACUGACAACGGCCACCCCUGCAAGCAACCGUUGAAGUUGAGCUCAGUCUAAUAAGGAUGUGCCAAAGGACAAUUUCAAAUUGAGUCGAGCACCUGAUGCAAAAAUGGCUCUACCACAACUUGCGGAGAAGAGAAAGAGAAGUACGGUUCAUCUAAUAUAUUUUUUGGAACAUGUCUCAUGAGGGGGGAGGAAUCCCCACUUGAAUAUUGAUUAUUGAAGAAAUAGGUCCAGUUUAUGAGGUAGACCAUGUCGAAACACAUGAUCUGAUUUAUGAAGGAAACCAGAUCAAAGAACUUGAUCCAGUUUAUAAGGAAAACAGGAUCAAAAACCAUACAACCCAAGAGGCAAGGCCAUGAAACACAAAAACAACCCAUACAUAGUUGCAACACGGUGCGAGGUCCAACAAACUAAAACUGAUAGGUGGUUGGUUGGAGCAGCACAGGUUAUGCAAAACCAUCUACAAGGCAUCACUAGCAAGACAAGAAGGUGCCAAACUCAGAGGUCGUGGCGAUAACACACGAGCAACAGCAACAUCGAAACCAUUGAAAUGAUAACAUAGGGUUCCACCACCAGGAUGUUACACCAUUGCCAAUCCUAUCGAUCGAGCGCCCAACAUUAGGGCCGAGUUGCCCAUGCCAAGGUGACGAUGGCAAGGGGGUAUAAGCCGGCUCCAUGAGAAUGCAUAGAGAGAAAGACAAAUCACCACCGAAAGGGAUGUUAGAUGGUGGGAAGUAACGAAGGAGUGACAUGCUCACGAGUCACGUAGAGCCAUUACAAGAAAAUAUCUCCACCAGGACAAACAUAGAUAAUGAUGUAGUGUAAAUGGAGGACACUCACAACCACAAGUUGGAAAACAAAUGAUCCAAGUAGAGACCGGACGGGUUAUUGCAACGAGAGAAAACAUUACAAGAAGAGGAGAUUACAUGGUUGCCGAGGAAAACAUGAACACAAUGGGUCGUAGAAGAUCCAAGAUCCCAUGUUGUGUGAAGUGGAACUCCACAACAACGCCUCCAGGAAGGUAAGCGGCGCCUGAAUGGUGUCGUCAUUGCUGCCGCCAGCAAGGAGCUAGCAGAUGGAUUUGUCCCGAAGACAGAGCAGCAGAAGGUCAAGCGGCCCCGUCCAAAGAGCCAGCAACAAAUGGCCGUGGAGGCAUUGAAACAAGGGAGCACAGGUCGAAGGGAGUAGGCAGAAGAAACAGAGGAUGGUGAGCGGCUGAGGCUAGUCCGCGGGGUAGAAGUAUCACCGCCACCGCCUGAGGCCACGCAAGGAGGUCUAGAUCUCUGAUGAGCAGGACCAAACUACGACCGCAAGCGCGUGCCGCACGGGGGCGUAGAGGCGAACAACAUGAGCAGAGGCCAAAUAGGGUGAAUAUGCACGAUACGGUGAAGCACAAGUCACCGUAGCGAGAAGGGUGGAGUGGAUCCGGCCAAUGGGAGUAGUAGCUGCAAGGGGAGGGGCGAGCGCUACUUAGGAGUGCGGGGAGGAAGACGAUGCCGAUGUGACGGGACCUAGAGAGGAGCGAGAAGGAACUGAGAGAGGGGGUGCUUGGCACUUGGUCUCAAGUUGCCAUGGUCGAAGCCAGGGCGAGGAGAGGCGCCACUAGCCAAGGGACAAGGAUGAAUGGUGGGCACGCUUGGAGGCUAAGACUGAUGGCGACUGCAACAUGUGCUAUAUGGUGACGGCAAACAGUCCGGCACACCACAAUGGAGACAAGCACAUGCCCAUCGGAGUGUGUAGCGCACGGAGGCGGGUCGUGGAUGUCGACGCACCGGGUGGCCCUUGCUGUGAGCAUCAAGCCACACCAGGAUGUGGAGCACAAUGGAGACCACAUGCAGCAGCUGGAGCAGGCCAAGGAUGAUUGCACGAAGCAUAUAGAGGUGGGUUGUUGUCGGCGCUAGUGUGUAGGAGGUGUAUGGGGCAUGAAUCCCGGUCAGCAACAACGGGGCGGAUCUAGAUCUGGCGGGAGGAAAUGGAGCGGAGGCGCAUACGUGGGGCGUGCGUGCCCUCGUCGCCGUCGCCAGCCGCUUGGCUUUGCACAUAGGGUUCCUCCAGCGCGCGAUGGUGGCGGUUAUGCUUUUGGUGUGGCGUCGGGGUGGCCUCCGGAGUCACGAGGGUUGGCGACCUAGGUGGCUAGGUAUCUCCCCAUGUUUGUCAGAUUUGGGCUGAUGGAUCAAGCUACUCACACAAACUCACUCAUAAACAAGGCAAGAUUUUGUAAUUUAACUCAUUCCAGCAUGCGCAUCUUGCAACAUGUUGAUCACACGCUACAUGGCAUUGUUCUCUUCAAGGCAACACUUAUUAAUACUCCCUCCGUUUUUAUUUACUCCGCAUAUUAGAGUUGAAUGAAGUCAAACUUUGUAAAGUUUGACCAAAUAUAUAGAAAAUAAUAUAAAUAUUUACCAUAAAAAGUCAAUAUAAUGUGGAAGUACAUUCAACAAUGAAUCUAAUGGUAUUGAUUUGUUAUUGUAUAUGUUAAUAUUUUUGUCUAUAAACUUUGUCAAAGUUUGCAAAGCUUGACUUUGACCAAAGCUAAUAUGCGAAGUAAAUAAAAACGGAGGGAGUAUCUCUUAAUUGGUCUAUUUAUUGUAUGCAAUCUCUUUGUACUCAUGCUUCAUUUAUCUGUGAGUUCUGUAAUGUUUAAAAUAGAAAUGCACGUUAGUAUAUGAGAAUCUAAAUCUACCUAGAAACCUGGGUUAUGUUCAAUGUAGAUGCAUCAAGUCGACAAAUAGUAUCUAUCUAUCUAUCUAUCUAUCUAUCUAUGUAUCUUCUAUUAUCUAUCUAUACACACACACACACACACAGAGAGAGAGAGAGAGAGAGAGAGAGAGAGAGAGAGAUUUAACUCAUAAAGAUAAAAAAUACUACACACAACACUAUAUAUGGAGUGGCUACAUACUUUGCAUGGUGAUUGAACUCAGAGAAAAUACAUGUUUCUCAAGGAAACACCAACAACAAAGUCUUAUUUUUUGUGGGAAAACAACAACAAAGUCUUUAGUCCCAAACAAGUUGGGAUAGGCUAGAGGUGAAACCCACAAGAUCUCGCGACCUACUCAUGGCUCUGGCACAUGGAUAGCAAGCUUCCACACACCAUUGUCCAUGGCUAGGAAAGAGUAAAAAAAAAAGUUAUCAGUACAAUUUCCCUAAUGAAAAAACACAUAUAUUCUUAGGUAAUGUACCGACAAAGGCAUCACCAAUGCAUAACAUAAGUAUAUCAUUCAUGACUAUAUGUUUGAACCGAAGAUGUACCUUUUUACAUAUACAUAUUUAAAUUUAACCAUUGUAUAUUAUGCGUUAUCAGUGAGAAAGCAUUCAUUAGCUUCAACACAACUUACGCAUGAACUAAAUUAGCUCAAUCCAUACUUUUAAAAAUUAUGAUAGUACGAAAUGUUUAUUUUAAAAUCUAAAAUACAUUUAAAAUGACAAAAUAUAGGUUCUAACAUAUGAAAUUAUGAAUUAGAAAAACCGAGGGCACAAAUGCAUGCCCACAAGUAAAUACAUUCUCGGACCAUAUUUGUGAAUUGAAAAUGUUUUUUUCAUACAUACAUAUUUAAAUUUAAUGGUUCUAUAUUAUUCGUUAUUAGUUAAAAAAAUAAUGAGUUUUAACACACCUUAAGAAUGAACUAAAUGAGCUCAAUCAAUAAUUUGAAAACUUAUGAUAGAACAAAACAUAGCUUCUAGCAUGUGAAAUUGUAAAUUGAAAAAAUCUAGCCGUGCAAAUGCGCGGGUGACCCCCCGCUAGUUCUUUCAAAAGAAAGAAGAUGAUGGUCUCUCUUUUAAGUAGUAGCAGAACCCAGAAACAAGAGAACUACACAAAUUGCAGGCUACAUAAUCAAACAACUAACAUAAUGAUUGAUAAUGAUUGAACAGAGAAUCAGUUCCACGGAGAAACAGAAUUUGAAACUUGGAGACUUUGAUAAAACCCAAGACCACUAUAAGAAUAUAGUUUGCAUGAAAACAACAUGAAAAAACAUGCACAUGAGCUUGUUUAUGUGCCACGUACAACAUUAAAGAGACUCGGUAAAUCGUCGUCAUGAUUCAUCUUAUUCAUCCUUUGCCUGGGAGAAACAUUUGAUGUUCCAUUGAAUAAGGUAGGCAUGAGUUUGUAUACAAUCCUACAUCUUAUGAGGCUUGUAAGCUCGCCUUAGGAGUAAUAGAAACAAGGCUUGCAGUGUAAUACAGUAGCUCAAACACACAUAAAUUUUCCCAUGCAUGGCCCAAGGUGUCUUCACUCGGCCCAAGGAACCUUAGGUCAUCCAUAUCAAAUAUAUCCUCUUCUUUUACACCAUGAGCUUUCAUGUAAUAACGGAUUAGGCAAUGACCUCGUCGUAAGAGAGACCCAGCAGCGAUGCUAAGUGAGGCCACUGGACAGCAGUGAUCUGAGACAUUGAUUACAUAAUGGCAAUCCCACUCUGGAUUCACAAUAUCUCUUGCCAUCCAGACCAAUACUUGUUGCACAGACUUGCUAAAGAAAGUAGCACAUAAUUCCCCGUCAAGCUCAUGGAGAACAAUAUCAUCAUCUUCAACUGUAGGGUACACGUUGUUAAGCAAUGGAGUGAUACCAAAUGUUUCAUCUUGAAGGCAGAAACGAAGCAGCGCCCGCGGGGGACAUUGAUGAUUUUUCAUAUCUAUUAAAUAGAAUAGGGAACCCUUGCAGUGUAUGGCAGUUUGUGGACACACAAUAGGGUAUGGUGGAUCCAGCAAGGUUUCCCUCCAGUUGCCCUCGUCACCAUUAAUGGUGAAGACCUCCAUCCCCAUUGCAACAGAACUGUGAUCACAGGAACGGUAGAAAGACCGUGCAACCUUAUAUGUUCCAGUGGAAACAUCAAGGCGAAACCAAUCGGAAGGCAAGUGGAGUGCUGCAACAUAUUGCGGUGGCACUUGGGGAGCGCAACAGCAUCUCUAGUGGCUGGGUUGAAGACAUAAGCGUGGGUGUUUGUGGGGAGCAACACCAACCCAUCACAGUGUGACAUUUGGGACACCAGUGCGAACUCGCCUGUGGGGAACUGCCUCCCAUAAAGGAGUGUUGCACUACUACUGCUCCUACUCAUGUCAUCUUGUUGUAUAGACCACAGGUAGAAACGGAUGUUGGUGGAGAAAAGACCCAAAGGGUUUGGUUCCAGAUAAAUGUGGGGGGUGACGAGGAAGGAAGAUGGGUUGCGUUGUUGUUUCUGUUUGGAGCAGUGGAGGUGCGCACGAACAAAAACAGGGUCAGAGAUGAUAGCGUACCAGGCCUUGCUAACCAACUUAAACCUCACCAGGGACUCCACGGGUAGCCGGAUCAAGAUCUCCCACACCAUCACGUCCAAUAACAGCCCGCUUAUAGGCUGCGAACUCAUCGUCCUUUGCUUCCUCUGUGGCACACUCCCCGUCCUUUGCAUCCUCUGUGACUUCCUCUUCUUUAUUUUCCUGCAUCAUUAGCCGACUUCUUUGGAAAUGUACCAUUAACCCCCUUCAAGUCCACGCAGCAAGAAACAAAACCAAAAUAUAACUAGGAUCUUAAUAAUCUGUAUAUGCAAUGCACGGCACCGGCUACGCUGACACGAACGUGUAUGUGUAUAUAUACAGAUAUGUGCGUCUCCCUGGCCUGUUGGUAUCUUUCCCGGACACGGUGUCCGUCUUAGUAUAGGAGACGCACCAAAUUAUUGUUUUUCCCUUUUUGUCAGCAACAAAGGAUUCAGUGAGAUCCGAAACCUCAACAGAUCCGGUCAAAAGCUUUUGAUUCUCUCGGAGAAAAUAUAGUGAAAAGUACAGAAGAAAUAUUUAGGACGCCGAUAAGUGUCACACGUGUGGGCGUUAGGAGGUCUGCCCAUACAUUUUGUGUGGUGUAUAAGAGGAACAGCCCACACACCUACGUGUGGGCAAAACAAGUAAUGCCCACAUACCUUUUUUUCCCUCCCGAUCCCUCUCACACGCGUGCGUGUGGGCAAAAUAGAUAACGCCCACACGCCCCGUACAUCAGGCCUCGUACCUCGUGGUCCCGCACGCCCCGCGUGACAGUCACCGCGCGCCCGCAGUUGCCAUGGUCCAGACCCUCGUCCAUGUUCGUUUAACUGCAGUUGCCAUGUCGCUGAACUACGGUUGCCAUGUCGGACAACUACAGUUGCCAUGGUUGCUCAACUGCAGUUGCCAUCUCAUGCCAAAAGUUCCAGAUGUCAUUUUUGGGCAACUACGGCUGUUGCCAUGUAUGGUCUGGUUUACUAGAGUUGCCAUGAUUUGCAAACUUUAGGGGUUUGCCACCUACUAACACUAGGCAGUUGUCAUGUAUGGUCUGGUUUACUAUAGUUGUCAUGAUUUGAAAACCUUAGGAGUUGCCACCUACUAACACUAGACAGUUGCCGUGUAGCGCUAUAAAAAGACAUGGCAAAACAACAUGUUCGGGUAAAAAAGAGAGAGUUGCCAUCUGCUUACAAGCACACUAGGGCAGUUGUCAUGUACCCUGCAAAAUACAUGGCAACUGACAUGUUCAGGUAAAAAAAAAGUUGCCACCUGCUUAUAAAGCACAAUAGGCAGUUGCCAUGUACACUGCAAAACACAUGGCAAGUGGCAACUUGGGUGUGGGAGAUGAGACGGGCGUGUGGGCGAGAUGGCAAAUGCCCACAUACCAGCCCUUGUGCGUGAGUGCAAAUUGGCGUGUGGGCGAACUGCUGAACGCCCACACACCAGCCCCUCCGGUGUGGUGAAACGGCCAUGUGGGCGACCGGAUGAAUGCCCACACACCAGCCCAGUCCUACGUGGCACUAGAAACAUGCCAAGAUUCGUGCGCUCACCAACGGACGCGGAUUCACGCGUGUGGGCGAGAUGCAAACGCCCACAUGUAUGGACGUUAGUGUUUUUGAAUAUUUAAUGUGCUGGCAGAAAUUAGCAGAAACAUCCUUCUGUUGCCGUUGGUGUCGUCGCCGUCCAGCGGACUGGCCAUGGCUACAAGCUCGAUUGGAAAGGUCUUGCGCGUGGAGGCGGUUCUGAAGCUUCGGGAUUGGCGGAUGCUAGGCGUAAGCCGGCUGAUAAGAGCCAAACUUAAGCCGCCUCGUUAGCCACUCGAUCGGGCCAUCAGGAAGCGACAUCAGCCGUGGGAUCCAUCGAGUCAACCCACUCAGCUUUUCCCUUCGCGUUUCUUUUGGCGGCUGCAAACAGCGCGUACACUUUGCGUCGGAGAGAAAAAGCAGCAGCCCCAGUUCGCAGCGCCAUGGCACCCCCUGUCAGCUCGAGCGCCCGACGGCGAUGCUGCAAAACAGCAGGUGCCGCACACGGAGUUGUUUCGUUGAAGUAGCUGGUCAGUUGCAGACCGACGGCGAGCCUCAAACGAUCACCGCAGCGCGAAAAAAACUCGAGCCCUAGGUGGCGCUCCAUUGCGGUUCCGGUGAAGCUCCAUUGCAGCCGCGACAGAGCUCCAACGACUCCGGCAGGGCUCCAUUGCAGCUCCGAUGAAGCUCCAUUGCAGCGUCGGCGAGCUCCAAUGACCCCGGCGGUGCUCCAUUGCAGCCCCGACACGCUCCAUUGCAGCGACGGUAGAGCUCCAACAACCCCGGCGGUGCUCCAUUGCAGCCCUCGGCACGCUCCAUUGAAGCUCCGGCGAAGCUCCAUUGCAACCUUCCUGGAGCUCCAACGGCCCCGCGGCGCUUCACUGCAGAUCCGGCGGCACACGACGAUGCUUCAUUGCAACCUCGUCGGAGCUCCAACGACACCCGUGGCGCUUCACUGUAGCUCCGGCGGCGCCCGGAAGCGCUCGGAGGCGUUUCAUUGCAACCUCGCCGGAGCUCUAUUGCAACUCUGACGAAGCUCCAUUGCAGCCUGACGUAGCUCCAACGCAGUACGACGGUUCCCGGCGAUGUUUCGUUGCAGCACCGACGGGUCCCCCGCGAUGCUCCACUGGAGCACCACGCAGCCCCGGGUGGCAGCACGGGAGUUGCUGGAAAAAACCGGCGAGCCACCGCGUCGCUCGCUUGAAGCAUGGACAGAGCGUCGUCGCCCCCCUAUUGCGACACCGCCACGACCCCCGGGUCCGGCCGGCUGCACACUCAUUUGCAGCAUCGACACCCCGCUGCCCUACCUCACCGGCAGUUGCAUCUCGCACAAGGGCGCGUCCGCUCUUGCAGCGGCCAGUGGCUGGCCUUGCAGCAGUUAGGACGACAUGUUAGCGGUGUGCUUGGAGCAGGUGACGGCAAGCUCACCGCGGUGGCCGUUUGAUGAUGGAGCAGGUGACGACAAGCUCACAUGGGCGAUGGUGGUUGUAUGCUUGGGUUGAGAAAGAAGAGAGCCCGAGUGGAUAAGAUAGGAUGGAUGGCUCGUGAUGUUUCCUGGAGGGAAAGGACAGAGACAGGCGUGCUGGGCCACAGGGGCACGUGCCAGCUAGAGGAGGAGGUUUGCCUGACGGAGAAAUAAGUCGGAUGAAUAUAAACGUUUUCCGCUAAAUAAGCCGCGCGCUUGAAAUAACGGCUUUUUAGCACGCGUGUCCGAAUCGGCAGCUCGCACCCGAGCAAAAAUCGCGUGGGCGCUCCGCGGGGCCUCGCGCGCUGGUUUUUUCAGGUAUCCGCUACCGUGCGUUGUACAGCGACUUGCCCGCGCGAAUGUCCACCAACCGCCGGAUCUGAAAUAUCCACUCACGCGCACGACUUCUCCAUCCUCUCCAGCGACCCGUCGGCCCUUCCCCCCGCCGUUCCCCACCGCGCGUGCCGCUUCCCCCUCUUCCCUGUUGGUCGCCGGUGCCUCCUCCACCGCGGCCGCCCCUCGAGCGCCCCGUUCCGCCGACGAACUGCGCCCGGCGGGUGUUUGCAGCUUGGCGCCCACAAGGUGUUUGACAAAAGCUUGCAAGGUAUAUAUUUGUACUAAACCUCAUAUUUAUAGAUGAAUUCGGAGCAUGUUGUUUGUAGUGUCAAAUAUUAGUUUGAAUUCAAAUUUGUAGGUGAGUUCAUCCCACGAUUCUUCCGAUGAAGAAUUUGAUCUUCAAGAGGAGGAGGACCUUGCAAUGGUCCUAGCUAUGCACAUCAACAAAAAGCCGAAGCACGGUUUUUCGUCGUUAGAAACUAUGGAGGGAGAGGAUCGAUGCUGAGAACAGAUUGAUGAGGAACUAUUUUACUGCAGAUUCCCAUAUAUCCCGAGUCCUACUUUCGACGCCGUUUUAGGAUGAGCAUCGAGUUGUUCAAACACAUUGCAGAGAAACUAACGAGCUAUGAUCUAUUUUUUUAGCAAAGGAGGAAUGUCGCCGGAGAACUCGGGCAUAGCACCUUUCAAAAGGUGACCGCCGCUUUGCGUAUGUUGGCAUACAUAAUUCCGGCGAAUCUAGUUGAUGAUCACUUGGCCAUGGGUGAGAGCCAAGCCAUCAUGUGUUCGAAGCGCUUCGCGGUUGGAAUCGUGCAAGUGUUUGGUCCGGAAUAUUUGAGAGCUCCCAAUGCUGAAGACGACGCAAGGCUUUUGGAGAUGAAUAAAGCUCGCGGGUUCCAGAUAUGCUUGGCUCAAUGGAUUGUAUGCAUUGGAGUUGGAAGAACUGUCCUAAGGCAUGGCAUGGACAUUCCACGGGCAAAAAAAAGGUUCAACUAUAAUCCUUAAAGCGGUGGCCUGUCAGGAGACUUGGAUCAUGCUUUUUUUUGGAAUGCCAGGAUCGAUCAUCACUCAUGAAUAGUAUUGCAAAUGAUGAACUACCACCGGUGCAGUUUGUAGCAAAUGGCCAUACAUACAACUAUGGCUAUUAUCUUGAGGAUGACAUCUACCAAAGGUGGCAAACAUUUGUGAAGCCGUUGAAAAACCCAGAAGGUAAGAAAAAUGUUUAUUUCCACAAUGCUCAGGCGGCGGCUAGGAAAGAUGUGGAGAGAGGUUUUGGAAUUUUGCAAGCCCAAUUUGCUAUUGUGAGAGGACCAGCUAGAUUUUGGGAUCGAAAUAUCCUUUGGUACAUCAUGAAUGCUUGUGUGAUCAUGCAUAAUAUGAUCAUCGAGAACGAGCGUGGGCAAGAUUUGGACUAUUCUCAAUAUGAGUUGUUGGGACGUCCCGUACGAGUGCGGAGGAGUGUUGAGAGGGUGGCCCGCUUUGUUGGCUCCUAUUAUGCCAUUCGACAUGCCGAAACACAUGAUGAACUUCAGAAGGAUCUAGUCGAGGAGUGGUGGGCAUGGAAUGGGCGACAAAACACAUGACUGUUAUUUAUUGUAUUGGUCAUGAACUAUUUGUUGUAUUGAACUUUAAUUAUUUGUUUGAGUUAUAAUAAUAAAUGAACUAUUUUUUGUCGAUUUAUUUUGUGUGUGUUUGAUCUUCUUUGUUUCACAUUGAAUGCAAAAUGUUGUUUGUGCUGGGCGCGUGCGCUCUAUUUUACAGCGCCUGCUGAAGCGGCACUCGUGCGCUAAAAUUUCUAGGCGUCCGGUGAAGCAACUGACUAGUUCGACGCGCAAAAGCGCUGCAAAAACUAAUGAUAAAUGAACUAUUUUUUGUCGAUUUCUUUUGUGUGUGUUUGAUCUUCUUUGUUUUACAUUGAAUGCAAAAUGUUGUUUGUACUGGGCGCGCGCGCUCUAUUUUACAGCACCUGCUGAAGCGGCACCCUCGUGCGCUAAAAUUUCUGGGCGUCCGGUGAAGUAACUGACUAGUUCGACAUGCAAAAGCGCUGCAAAAACUUUUAGCGCGUCGCGCCUGUUGAAGAUGCUCUUAGCGACCCUCUCUGCCAUACUGCGGCGACCAUUACGCACGCGCAAUGUUUAAAACGAGACAGAAGAAAAUGAGGAAACCGCGAUUCGACCCCUGGUAGCUACACUCAACCUCAUGUUAAGGGCAUCUACAACCGUUUGAAAGGGAUUCAGUUAUGUAAUACUGCCCCCAAGUCUCAACCAUUUGUUGUUUGCAGAUGGCUCGUUGGUACUAAGGAAAGCCAAUGGCGAAAGCACCACAACACUGCAAUACAUACUAGAACUCUAUGAGAAUUGCUCGGGAAGUACAGACAAUUAGUUUUGACAAGUCGUCGGUGAUGUUCAGCAAGAAUACAAGGAGUGCUAACCGGCAAGAGGUCCUAUAUGUACUGAAUAUUCGAGGGGAGACAUGGAAUGAAAAGUAUCUGGGGCUCCCAGUCUAUGUUGGUGCAGCAAGAUCACAAGUUUUUUAGUAUCUUAAGGAUAGGAUCUGGAAGAGAAUCCAAGGAUGGAUUGAGAGGCUUCUGUCUCAGGCUGCUAAGGAUGUUCUAAUCAAAGCUAUCCCAACUUUCGCUAUGUCCUGUUUUGACUUGACAAAAUCUCUUUGUGAACAAAAUGGGUGCCAUGAUCUGCAGGUAUUGGUGGCACGGCAAGAUGACAUGAAAAAAAUGCACUGGCUGAGCUGGGAACUUUUAACUAGACCGAAAAGUAAGGGGGGCUGGGUUUUAGGGAUCUACACGGUUUUAACCUUGCAAUGCUUGCCCGCCAGGCGUGGCGUGACAGUACCUGAUUCCUUGUGCGUCCGGGUCCUAAAGGCCAAGUAUUUCCCGUCUGGAUCGAUCUUGGAUGCCCAACCAAAGGCGGGGGUAUCAUACACAUGGCGAAGCAUUUUGCGAGGGUGCAGCUUCUUAAGGAGGUAGUCAUCUGGAGAGUAGGAGAAAGGACAAGCAUAAAUAUCUGGACUGAUCCUUGGUUGCCAAAGGACGGAACACGGCAGCCCCGAACCCCUAGUGGCAACUGUGUGUUUACCAAAGUCUCUGAACUAAUUGACCCAAAUACUAUGACAUAGGGUGAGACACUGAUUGGAUAUAUUUUCUGGGAGGAGGAUGCCAGUAUCAUUCUAGCCAUGCUGAUAAGGGAGGACUUUGAAGAUUAUUAUGCAUGGCAUUACGAUGGAAAGGGCGAAUUUUCUGUCAAAUCCGCGUACCAGGUGUUUGUUGGAGGGCUCGAUGAAAUAGCUUUUCCUACAUCUGCUGUAGCAGCUAAAGAGGAAGUGGACUGGAAGAAACUCUGGGCUAUGCCCUGCCCGCCCAAAGUCAAGCAGUUCCUAUGGCGCUUUGCUCAGUCUGCCGGUCAAGAUGAACAUCCGACGGAGAGGCGUUGAAUGUGAAACCCUAUAUAUGUGUGUGCUGUCGGCGACUCGAUGAAGAUGGAUGCCACUUGUUUAUCAAAUGCAAGGAGGUAAAGAUGCUUUGGCGGGAGAUACAGAUGGAGGAGGUCAGGUUGCGGUUGUGUGCAUGUAGAGGAGCAAAGGAAGUGGUGCAACAUGUCACCUCGCACUCUCGCUAUGUGAGAGUGAUCAAGUGUUAAUUACAUGCAUGCUAUGGAAGUGGUGGAACCGCAGGAAUAAACUAAACAAGAAUGAGGGUGUGUCUCAUGUUGUGACCACGGCUGCACAUGCAAGGUCCUUCGUGCCGCCCAACCGUCCCCCGCAUCGCCCCCCGCAUGGGCGACUCGGGCGGAUUGGCAAUCCUAGCCGCUAGGCAGCCGCAGAUCCCGUGCCUCCCUCCGUCGCCGCUGGAGGAAGCCACCGGGCAAGCCUGGUGCCCGACGACGGUGGGGGAGGCUCCCUUCUCUCCCACGCAGGUUUGGACGAUGCGGGGCAUCCAUGGGCAUGGGGCACCUGCCCAGAUUUCAAUCACUGGCGGCGUAACGUCUCUCCGGCGGCGGUGCUGCAGGGUCGACGGGGAGGACUGGUGGUGCGGCUGUUGGCGGCGAUGUGCGGGUUGGCUGAUCCAGCCCGUACAUGUGGCCGGCCGGCGGCUGCGUGGAAGGGCCAGCGAGGGGCGCCAGAGGCCUCUGCUGGCGAUCCGGUGGAGUUUCUGGAUUGGAUCCGGUCGUCACGCCCGAUCCGUCCGGCCGUUUGGGAUAUUGCGGGGUGCCCGGCGGUCUGCUGCCGGAGUACCGACGGCGACGUACGUCUUCGUGGCGAGGUUCCGCUCGGUUCCAGCCAGCCGCAAGAUCGGGACGACGUGGCUUUCGGUGAAAAUCGCGCCUGACUGCGGUCUUGGCGGACGAUGGCGGUGUCUCGAACGUCGUUCCUUUCUCGAGGCAUCGUCGUUGCAGGUCACGUCAACCUGAUUGGGAAGUUCCGAGGGAAACCCUAGAUCUGGGUCUACCGGAUCGGACGAUGACGGCGCCUUCGGUGUCGUUCUUCCUCCUAGGGCAUCGUUUUGGAGCAAGUGCUGGUUGGAGGGGACAAGAGGAGGAGCGGUGUUUCAUCUUGCCCAUUGAUGACGGCAGAUCUCGGCGGCGUGGCGCAGUGAAGACUCGGCGCCCGAUGCGUGGAGAUGGACUCGCGCAGGAGGAUGACGCUGUCUGGUGUCGUGGUGGCGUCGGCGGCAGUUAGACCAGGCAAGGUACAUGCAUCAGUACAGCUCUGAAGAUGGAUUGGUGGCAAGUGGCUGCGGCGGCUCAUACCCGGCAGGCGUCCUGGUUGAGGAGCACGCCGGACUAGUGGGUGCCCAUACCCGGCACGCGUCCUGAUUGGGACCUUAGAUCUUUGAUGUUAAGUUUGGCUGUUAUGUCUGUUUGGUAUUAGGCCCAGACUAUCAGCGCCCCUUCAUCAACUGGAUAGGAGUUGCGACAGAUGUUGCGUAGACGGUGACUUUAGUCUUACUGUUGUAUGACUUUGUAAGGUCUUAUGUCAAUAAUUAACAAAAUGGUUGUAUGCAUCGUCCAGAUGCAGAGGCUGGGGUCUUCCUUCUUUUUCUAAAAAAACAAAAACAUGCAAGGUCCUUGGCUCUAGAAGUCAUGCAGUUCAGUGCGAAACAGCCAAAGGUGCAAGCUACCAGGCCGGCCUACAGAUGGACAAGACCGGAGGGAGAUAAACUGAAAAUCAACAUCGAUGGGCGUACCAUGAUUCAUCGGGGACCGGGGGCUGGGGGUUUGUAAUCCGAGAUAGAAGUGGAGAUGUUGUUGGUGCAGGAGAUGUGAAAAUCACGCAUGCCAGUACUGCCACGCGUACAGAGGCCGAAGCCUGUUUCCAAGCAUUGUCAGCUGCGGCGACAUGGGGUAUUUCCAAUGCGGUUGUGGAAUCAGAUUGUCAAAUCCUACUGAACGUGUUAUACUCAGAGAUACCAGGCAGUUUAUCCGUCUGAAUUUUAGUUCUUUGGCUUUUUCUUUUGUCCCUCGUGAUGGUAAUAAAGUUGCCCAUGCUCUCGCUGCAUUGGGUUGUAAUGGCUCGGAGCACCACCGGUUGUGGUUGUAUGGUGUACCGAACAAUGUACGCGUGAUGAUGGCCAGCGAGUCUGCUGAGCCUGUUUAAGUCAAGGAACCUCAGUGUUCCAAUUUCAAAAAAUAAAAGAGCAUCUACAACCACAUAUUGCAAAUCUGUGCCCUCAAAUGUCCCGAACGAUUGGGCGGGCCUCAAAAAUGACCAUUUUCAAUCACACUCGUAUUAGUCCCACCUCACCGCGUGACGAGCUAGUCGACCGGCUUAAUAGCCGGGUCGUGCGGAACCAAUAAGCUUCUCACUUCAUUGGAUCCUUUGUAAAGAAUAGACUAUUACUAUAAAUCUUCUAUGUGGUAAACAUAUAAGAUUCAUAGUCACGGUCUAUCUCCUUUACAGGGGAAACAUUUAUAUCCGUACUGCUUUUUAUGAAUCACAAUUUGUCAAAAAAGUCGAUGAAUAAAAUUAAAAAUCUACUAUCACUAUAGUAAGGGUAUCAACGUACAUGAACGAGACGAACUUGACCCUCGACGAACAAUCAUCAGUUAAUGAAAUACAGUCUAGUGUCAAGUUAUCUCGCUCACACAACAAUAAUUGAUAGACUUACAUAACAACAGAAAAGCUUGCCGUCAUGCGCCAGCGUGGCUAUUUAAGACGAUCGGCGUCCGCCUCGCCCAGCAAUGUGACACUAAAAUUUUGCUGCGCCUAUGAGAGAGGACGGAACUUCAGUCGGUGCAGAUGGGACCGCUACGACCUGCAGCGGGGUCAGAGCACGCACCUAGGCGCCCCCAUAAUCCGCCUCAGGGCUGGAUAUGAGGAGUGUCGGUCAGCCCGGGCAUUUGAGGUCCGUUUAAGGCGCCCGGCUGGGUCAAAAUUUUGCAACCGGCCAAUGACCGGGCGGCCCGCCCGCGCGUUUGAGGCGGGUUUGGAGUGCCCGGCUGUGGAUGCUAUAAAGUAGUUCGCGGGUCAUACUUGAGGCAUAAAGUAGCUGGGUGCGCCCUAUUUUUUCUUUCUUUCUCUAUUUUCUUCUACCUUUUUUGGUUUUUCUUCCUUAUUUCGCUUUUUUGUUCUCCAUUUUUUCAUUGUUUUUUAUUUGUUUCUUAGGUUGUAAUUGUUUUUCUCUCUUUUUGUGUCUUUUAUUUCUUCUCCGGCUUAGUUUAGUUUUCAUUUUUUUUAAUUCUUUCUACAUUUGUUUCUUUGUUUUUUUAGUUUUUGUUUGGUUUCCUUUUUUCUUCUGCAUUUUUUUCUUUUGUAUUUUCUUAUGUUUGUUUUCGUUUUCACUCUACAUUUUUGUACAUGUCAAAAAAAAUUGUAACAAGUGAUCAACAUUUUUUGUUUACGUGUUCAACAUUGCCCGAACGCUAUUUCAACAUUUUUUGGAAACUUGUUCAGCAUUUUAAUAGUUAUUCAACAUUUUUUCAAAUACUUGUUCAAGAUUUAUAAUACUUAUUCGAUAUUUUGAAAUACUUGUUUAACAUUUUUCAUAUACUCCUUCAACAGUUUUAAUACCUAUUCUACAUUUUUCAAAUACUUGUUCAACAUUUUCAAAUUCAUGUUCAAUAUUUUUAAAUACUUGUUCAACAUUUUUCAUAUACAUGUUAAACAUUUUUUGAAUACCUAUUCAACAUUUUUCAAAUACUUGUUCAGUAUUUUUAAUACUUAUUCAACAUUUUUUCAAAUACCUGUUCAACACUCUCAAAUUCUUGUUCGACAUUUUUUAAUACUUAUUCAACAUUUGUUUUCAAUUGUGAUUUUGAAGAGUGUUUUUGUAAUAUAUACAUAUAUAUAGAGAGAGGACAUCUUAAAGUGUAAAGAAAGGUACAAAAAUAACAAAAAAUGAGAACAUAAAACACACACAAAAAUCGGUUGUGGCUCCCGAGCGGCUAGGCCGGCCCGUCUGGGAAUCGCCCCAACACGAGCGCAUCCCCAUGUCUCGCUUAAAGCGAGACAUAGGGGUGCCCCUGCCAUACGCAGUCCGGAUUCCACCCACGGGUAACUUGGCCGGACCCACCUAGCUGCUCUCAAAGAUACGCAGAUACCUGGCAUUUCCUAAAUGGCGUUUAUUCGAUUGUUGCAAACAGGCGCACACCGCUCCCUCCGCGUUGGCCCGGCCCAUCUUACGUUUUGUUUCUUUUCUAUAAACCCUUAAAGAAAGAGCGCCCGUGGAGUUUCAAACUCUGCAUCCGUGCUUCCCCGUAGGAGAUCGAACCACUGAUAAACAACCAACAUAUUUUCUAUUGUGCUAUAAGACAUCUAUAAUACCUAAAUAUUUCAUCCCCGCUAUGUAAUUUCUCUUAACAUGCAAGCUAGCCACAUCAGAAAUAAUCCACCUCAGCAAAUCCACAACCAGCGAAAACAAAUCUUUUCCUUUAGUGCGCAUGGUUUCCUUCCCAUCUUCUGUAACUGACGAAACGUGUCGUCUUAUCCUCAAACCAAUCGACAUCUCAUCAUAUAUUCCCUUCCAUCAAAAGCUUGAACUCUCGGGUUCUCCUCCACCGGCCGGUCGCGCCACGCAAGCCGGCGGCAGCCACUUCGCGCAUCUACACGGGUGGCGCCUCCCUCGGUCCCUCACCCGGUUGUCCGCGUCUGCCAAGCUGGCCGGACAACUGCCGAGAACCCACAUCGGAAGCGGCGGCGCUCCUCCUGUAGACGCCACUGCGGCCGCCUUGCCACAACUCCAACCACCGCAUGCCUCCAAACACCGUGCAGAGGCAUCGUUCUGAUAAACACACUACAGCUAAGUUGUGGAUUAUCCCCUUUGACGUUGCUUUUCAUUUGAUUCGUAUAAUCCCUGUAUUCCUCUUCCCAGAGCAUCCAGAUCCAUCCCCUUCCUUCAGUUUGUUGUCUGGGAUAGCCUCAUACACCUGCCUCUAUUGAUUUUGCAGCCGGUGGCAUGCUGCUGGGCUAGCAAUCCGGAAUUUUUUACUUCGUCUACCCAACAAGGUAAAGAUUAGCCACGAUCCUUUAUUUUUCGUGGGAAUAGUCCCAUCUACCCGCUUCUCUUAUUUUUACUCAACGUUCUGACUGCCAGCAAUCCUACCCCAUAGAGUUUGGCCCUGAUGGUAGCUUCUUGUUGCAUUUGUAUUCUUCUGCAGAGAUUAACUCUAUUCCACUGUCCAAAAAAAGAUUAACUCGAUGCAUUUUAUGAUGAGAAUGAGAUAGUCCAUUCUGGAUUUAUUAUAACUAAUGUAGUUACUGCGUGAUUAUCUAUAUACUACAAUCUGGAUGUUCUAGCAAUAACAUGGUAUGUUCCUUUAUAAUUGCAGGUAUACAGUCAAGUCUACACAAAACUGUAUGGUCGACAACCUUCUUUACUCUUGCAUCAGGAUCCCGCAUACAAAUCAUUCGCAAAGAUUUCUCUACUCUUGAUCGUGGCUAAUCUUUACCGUCGCAAAACUUCGCUCACUUUCAGGUUUGCUGCUUGAAAUUCUCAUGCCUGUAAUUUGCUUUAAUUAAAUUCCAAAUGUAUCGUUCCCAGGGUCUCACGUACAACUGAUGGAGAAUUUUUUAAUGAAAAUGUUGUUCACUGUUUUCCAUUAGGGAUCUUUCGAUCAGAGCAAGAACCCGGCUGCGACCAACCUCAUUUCAUAUUUUUGCCUCGGUCAGCAGCUUGGCAUAUUUUGUUCGCUCCUUUUAAACCUGGGUAAUUCUGCACAUAUUUUUUAUCUCCAACUCCAACACAUGUUUUUGAUAUACCAAUGGGUCAUUACAGGUUGGUAUAGCUGUUUGUGAACUUAUAUCCUUUUCCUUUUUUCUUCAGAAUAUGUUUUUCCAAUGCUAGCAGAAUUCUAUAGACUUUAUAUCUUAAGAGGCCAUUACUAGGACAAUGCUACCUGCCAAUAAAAAUUCUUCACGAAUCAACAGGGUGUACAAAAAUGUGUGCAGUGUUACCAUACAAAAUGGUUGAGGUGCCAUAUGCUCUCUCAUGUUUACCCUUACUGUUUACUUUAGUUAUUCCAACAAAGAGUCUGGCAGAUCAUGAUGCUUAAAUUUCAACCACAAAACGUCAGGUGCUAAUUCUCUCUUCUCUUACAUCGUGUUACUUUUUUUGUUACACAUAAUUAUCUGAAGUGCUACCCUUUUUAUUGGUUUUCUAUCAUCUCCUCUUCCAACACUUGCACUCCAGGAUGCCUCUAAAGCCUCACAUCACUCUUCCAUCAGUUCUACCAAGAAAGACAUUCAGCAUAUACAUGCACGCAAUGAAUCAGCUCACGGAAUCUACAAAUGCAAAAGUGUGCGGAACUAUCAGAAGCAAAUUUCAGGGAGAAAACAUCAGCAACUAACUACCCAUGAAGAUCACAUUAUAACUGUUGGUUGCAUAAACAAGGAAGCAAUUUUCAUGGCAUAUAGCUCAUUUGUACAUAUAUUAUACAAAGUGGUUGCACUGAAUAUAACUUAUGUACAAUGUACUACUUAAAUUUUCCCUUUCAACUCAAGCCCCCCUACAGAUAUCAUGGUGUUUUAUUCUUCGAUUCAUUAACACAUUGCUUCUCAAAUUAGUCCCCAAAUACCCGCAGCAACGAGCGGGGAAUUCAUCUAGUUACACAAAUGCUUGUAUCCAAUAUUUGGAUUCUCAUAUCCUCCAAGACAUUACACAAAUGCUUGUAUCCAAUAUUUAGAUUUCCAUAUCCUCUAAGGCAUUGAAUGCAUAGCCAAGAGGGGUGCAAUAAAUAUCACGCAAUCCCGUUCUUCUCCUCACACCACCAUUCCAACAACUUCUUUUGAGCACUUGGCCAUGGCGUUCAGUGGCACCCAGAUGCUCGGUGCUUUCACCCUGGGCAUUCUCCUUAUGGCCUUCUGUAAGUUCAUAUAACAGAUUUUAACGCAUCUCCCAUAGUUCAGAAUUUUGAAGCAACUAGCGGGAACAUGAAUUCAAUACACAUGAUUAAUUAUUGGAGAUAGAUACUAUACACAAAUGCUUGUAUACAAUAUUUGGAUUUCCAAAUCCUCUAAAGCAUUACACAAAUGCUUGUAUCCAAUAUUAGGAUUUGCAUAUCCUCUAAGACAUUACACAAAUUGUCGUAUCCGAUAUUUGGAUUUCCAUAUUCUCUAGGCCUCUUUUGGUUCAUAGGAUAAGAGUAUCAUAGGAAUAAGAAAGUUGUAGGAAAUGAGAUGACAUGUCUCUUAAAUCCUAUGAGUAGGGACAGAAAAAAAGAUGCCAUUUGGUUCACAUCAAAGGAAUUUUUCAUUAAGUCUAGACUAAUGUUUAUUUUCCUUUGAAAUGUGAAGGAUAUGAACCAAUCCCAUGUAGCAAUAGAAUUCCUAUGAAAUUUCUAUAGACCAAAGGAGGCCUAAUACAUUACACAAAUGCAUGUGUCCAAUAUUUAGAUUUCCAUAUCCUCUAAGGCAUUGAAUGCAUAGCCAAGAGAGAUGUUAUAAAUAGCACACAAUCCCGUUCUUUUCCUCACGCCACCAUUCCAACAAUUUCUUUUGAGCACUUGGCAAUGGCAUUCAGCGGCACCCAGAUGCUCGCUGCCUUCACCCUGGGCAUUCUCCUCAUGGCCUUCUGUAAGUUCAUAUAGCAGAUUUGACCGCAUCGCAAUCCCAUGCAAUUUAAGAUCAAAUCUAUGAAACGAUUGCUAAUAUAAUUUUCGGGUGCACACGCUAAUUGUAUGUCACAUGCAGGUGCGGAGGCUCGGGUAUGCAUGUCGACUAGCAAGUUGUACAAAGCGAACCCUUGCAAGAACGUGCGCUGCACCAAGGCUUGUCACAAAGAGCACUUCAAGGGUGGGUUUUGCUCCAGUAAAAAGUCGAUCGUUGAUGACGAGCUCAACGAAGACAACGGCGACAACAACUUUGGCAAACGGCCUAAGAAAAAAUCGAAAAAAUCGUGCAUGUGUACAUUCCCAUGCGGUCAAACCCCACCACCACCGUCGGAACCUGAUGUGCCAGAGCCGCCCGAAGUGCCAGUGCCCGGGCCACCGCCGAGGGCCGGCCAUAUUUAUUGAGUGUUGAGUAAAUGAUCAUAUGUAUGAACCUGAGGUGUCGAGGAAAGAGAGGAAACAAUCACUGCUUAAUUUGUACACAUGCAUGAUUGAUUGCAUAAGAAUGAUAAUAAUAAUAAUCUAAAGUGAAUCAACAGUAAACACGAGUGUCUCUACCAUGGAUCAUAGUCACUAGUAGGAAAAGGGGCUUUUACCCCGGUUUGUAAGGGCAUUUUGUCCCGGUUUUCGAACCGGGACUAAAGGGUCGUUACUAAAGCCCUAACCCUUUAGUCCCGGUUCUUACACGAACCGGGACAGAAGGUCCUCUACGUGGCCGCUGCUGCCAGCCCAGGCAGGGGGGCCUUUGGUCCCGGUUGGUGCCACCAACCGGGACCAAUAGGCAGGGCCUUUUGUCCCGGUUGGUGUCACCAACCGGGACCAAUANNNNNNNNNNNNNNNNNNNNNNNNNNNNNNNNNNNNNNNNNNNNNNNNNNNNNNNNNNNNNNNNNNNNNNNNNNNNNNNNNNNNNNNNNNNNNNNNNNNNNNNNNNNNNNNNNNNNNNNNNNNNNNNNNNNNNNNNNNNNNNNNNNNNNNNNNNNNNNNNNNNNNNNNNNNNNNNNNNNNNNNNNNNNNNNNNNNNNNNNNNNNNNNNNNNNNNNNNNNNNNNNNNNNNNNNNNNNNNNNNNNNNNNNNNNNNNNNNNNNNNNNNNNNNNNNNNNNNNNNNNNNNNNNNNNNNNNNNNNNNNNNNNNNNNNNNNNNNNNNNNNNNNNNNNNNAUUGUGUUAGCUAGCUAAUUAAUAGAGAGAAGUGUCCUCUUUUAUCUUCGUGCUUGGUCGACGCUACAUACUAUAUACGUAUGGAGAGGACUAGACACGCUAGCUAGUAAGCAAAUGAAGGAAACAGAAGAUCGUCAUGAACAUAUGCAUAUAGAGAGAAGUGAUAUCGACCACCUCUCCUUCUCCGAGAGGAUGGUCGAACAACAAGUUCUCUUAUAUCUAUCUGACACUACCGGCUACAUAUAUACAAUAAUUAUCUCUUACAAUAUAAUCUCCUAAUUAAAUUGUAAGAACACAGGGUCCACAUAGUAUUCUCCGUUUUCAGCGAUCACGUGGUCAAGGAAGAAUGCCGCCAAUUCCUCUUGAAUUGCUCGCAUACGAUCUUCUGCUAGGAGUUCAUCCCGCAUCCGAAACAUCUAAUUGAAGAAGGGGGUCAAUACAUAUAUAUAUGAAUAAAUGAAACUCGACACAAAUGAUGGUAAUAAAAUAAAAUUGUGAAUAUUAUUGCUUACGCACUUCAUAUUGUUCAUCAGAGUAGCCCCGCUCACAGGUCGUGUGGCGGAUAGACUCGCAAAUGUAGUAUCCACAGAAAUCAUUCCCUUGUUCCUGCCACAACCACUUUACAAGAAAUAGAGGUCAAUCUAACUGAUAAGCAAGCAUGCUAAAUGGUAUUGAUGAAACUAGCGUUGAAUCACUAGGAGAUGUGCGGAACAUGCUACUAUAGUACUUACUUUCGGGUGUCUAAAUUGCAGCUUCUUCGGCAGUCCCGGAGCUUUUGUGGUGAAUUUUCUCCAAACCCUGCCAGACAAAGAAAACAAUUACUUGAUAUCAGGAAAUGAACAAAGUUGCUGAUAUGGUGGAUAAUGAUCGAUUUAACUUCUCGAGCAUUUGAGUCAUGUUCGCAUAGUCCUGGGGAUCUUUUCGUCUCGAGUCUAAGACGGUUACUACUCCCUGCUCAAGCUUAAUCUCUAGGAGAAUAUAGUGGAAGCUGCGCAUGCAUGCAUAAGUCAUCAAUUACAUUACCAUAACCUGGACUAAUAAGGGAAACCGAAUAUGCACAAGACAGUAGCACUCACUUGAAGUUGUAAGGAAAGAGUAUUAUAUCUUUAUUUUGAUUUAAUACCAACGAUCGUAGCAAGUUGGGCUCGGCUUCUUUGGCAUGUUUUUCAACCGUAUAUGCAUCUAUGAGAUUUGUGUUAAUGAACCCAAUAUCAUCGAUUUGUCUUUUCUUCAAUUCGGCGAUCUUCAAUCUGCAUAAUAUAGUGAGGAUAAUUAUAAAUACAUGCAAUGAAAGAGCUGGCCCAUAUAGAGAGACUUAAUGACAGAAGUAAUACUAUUUACAAACAGUAGCAAGUGAUCGUUGUUUUAUCGAGGGCCUUUUGAUUGAAAAACUGGAAGAACUCCUCAAAUAAAACAUUCAGCAGUUCAAUUCCAACGAGGUCAUGCUCCGAUUUAACUCUCAGCGUUAAAGUAUUCAUCCCAUCAGACUCUCUGCAGGUUUUCAUGUACCAAUCAUGUAAUCUUCGCAUCAUCGUUGUUAGAGAUCUUUCAUCUUUGACGAGAGGCUUCCCGUAAUGGUAUUUGUGUUCGUCCACCUCCAUGAUUUCAUAAUGUACAUCGUCGGGCAGGUAAUCUCCAAGAUUGCUAUAACCGGCCAUCAUCCUCGCAUCAUUAGCGACGAUGUCUUUAGACACCUUGAGCGGGGGGCACGAUUCGUUCGCUUGUUCGCCGAGCUGGGCAAUUUUUUUCCCAGCUCGUCGUUCUAUUAACCUUUGAUCACUGACAGUACUUCCCGACCGCUCCGCUUCGACAAAUGUCUUUGCAAUAAUGCGCUCAUAGUUGCCUUUCGGCGGAGACUUUGGUGGUUUUGUCAGGGCAUCCAGAGUGCGCUUCGCUUUCACCGGAUCUACCUUCUCCUCCGGAGGUGGAUGUUUCUUUGCUUUCACCCCUUCAAAGAAGUUCUUCACUUCGGCUCGCACGAUCUUCGCGUUCUCCUCCUCGGUCCUCUCGUAUGGUAACUUCUCUGGAGUCUUUAGAGAAGGACUGAAUUUGUAUCGCCUCCCGCCUCUGGCAGCUGUACUGCUAGACGCCGGCAGAGCAGGCGGAGCGGCUGCGGCUGUCUUCUUUCCUUGCUUACGAGACGGAGGAGAAGGACUACGACGCGCCAGAGCAGCCGGAGCGGCGGAGGGUCUCUUCCGCCCUUGCUGACGAGGCGGAGAAGGAGGAGGCUGGCUGCUCUGGCACGCCGGCGCGGGCGGAGAAGGAGGCGGAGUGCCGCCACGCGCCGGAGAAGGAGGCUGAUGAGUGCCCUGAUCACUCGCCGGAGGAGGAGGCAGAGUGCCGCCACGCGCCGGAGAAGGAGGCUGAGUGCCCUGAUCACUCGCCGGAGGAGGAGGCAGAGUGCCGCCACGCGCCGGAGAAGGAGGCUGAGUGCCCUGAUCACUCGCCGGAGGAGGAGGAGGCGGCGGAGUGCCCUUACUCGCCGGAGGCGUCCAGUUCGGAAGGUUAAUGAGCUCCUUCCGCCAUAGGCACGGAGUCUUCAGAGCUAAACCCAGCCGAGUCUCCCCUUCACCGGUAGGGUGGUCAAGCUGGAGGUCCUCAAAUCCCUCCGUUAUUUCAUCCACCAUCACCCUAGCAUAUCCUUCUGGAAUCGGUCGGCAGUUGUAGGUUGCGCCGGGUUCAGGAAGUAAAACAGAGCCAACAGCCGCCUUGACUUUGAAGUUCUGCCAUUGCGCCAUAAGGUGGCAAUGUUGAGACUCCAUGAUAGCAUCCACGGGGUAGCUAGCAGGAGCCGUCAAGACAUGCUCCGGCUGAAGCAGCUCGGUGGAAGCCACGCUGCUUCUCCGCUGAGAUGGCGGGGUAGCUUCGGGGAUAGUUUCAGCAUGUCGAUUGCCGUCUCGUUCCUCUAGCACUUGAACCCUUUCGUGCAGCUUCUGAAUUUGGGUCUGCUCCAUUUUUUUCCUCCUCUCCUGGCUUUUGUAACCGCCUGCGUCCGGAAAACUAGCCUUCCACGGAACGGAGCCUGGCGUGCCUCGUGUCCGUCCAAGGUGCUCAGGAUUCCCGAGGGCCAUUGUGAGCUCGUCGUUCUCUCUGUCUGGAACGAACGUCCCUUCCUGCGCUGCAUCGAUAUAUUGCUGAAUCUUCUUGACUGGUAUUCUCAAAAGCUCGUUCGUCCAAACGCACCUCCCUGAUACAGGGUCCAAGGUUCCGCCAGCCCCGAAGAACCAAGUCCGGCAACGGUCUGUCCAGUUCAUUGUCUGUGGUUCGAUCCCUUUUUCAAGCAGAUCAUUCUCAGCCUUGGCCCACUUAGGCCGGGCUUUGAGGUAGCCACCUGACCCCGUGUGAUGGUGAAGCUUCUUCUUCGCAGCAUUCUUAUUGUUUGUCGCAGACAUCUUCUUACUCUUUUCCGAUGUCUUGUGGGCCACAAAUGCGGGCCAGUGAUCUCUGAUCUUCUCAUACCGGCCGAUGAGUUCUGGUGUCUCUUCUUUCUCGAGAAACGUUUUCAGCUAAUUCUUCCACCUCCUGAAUAGGUCUGCCAUCUUCUUAAGACCAUGAGACUUGAUUAAUUGCUCUUUAACUGGUUUCUCCGGAUCCUCCUCUGGCGGAAGGGUGAAAUUUGCCUUCAACUCAGUCCAAAGAUCAUCUUUCUGCAUAUCAUUGACAUAAGACACCUCAGGGUCUUCCUUCUUAGGCUUAUACCAUUGCUGGAUGCUGAUCGGGAUCUUGUCCCUAACUAGAACCCCGCACUGAGCAGCAAAUGCAUCCUUUGUCCGGAUGGGUUCAAUCGGUUGGCCGUCGCGCGCGAUUGCUGUGAUCUCAAACCUUUCAUCCGAGCGCAACUUUCUCUUCAGGCCUCGUCUCUUUACCGAAGUUGUGCUCGAUCCGGAGGGCUAGAAAAAGAAGAAAGACGAGUGUUAAUUAAUAUGUGUACAUACCAAAACAAUGAAUGCAUCAAUUAGCUAGUCAGCACAGGCUUAACUAAUAUAUUUACUUGGCCGGACUCUGUUCGGUCACCGGAACCGUCACCACGGGCUCCUUCUUGCACCAGCAUUGGGUCACCGGAGCCAUCAUAAUCAUGUCUUUCCUCCUCCACUCUUCGAUCACCGUAGCCUGCUUCUUCACCCUGUUCUUCCAGACCAUCAUUGUCGUUAAGAUACGACAAGAUAUCACCUCCGGCUAAGAUGAUGUCCCCCAACACCUCUUCUGCUUGCUCGUCUCGUCCGUGCUCCAUUGUUUCUGCAAAUAUUACAACAUGGCAAUUAUUACACAAACAUGACAGCAGGUGGAUAUAUUAGUGCAAACGUAGACCUAGCUUAUUCCGGGUUUGGGGUGGCCUCGGCAAUGCUUCAAGGGUAGGGGCGCGGCGGGAGGGGGUAGGAGACCGACAUCGUUUUUUCUAGGGUUUGGGUGUCCUCGAGAGUUUUGGUCGAGCGAGAGGGCCGGGGGGUGCUCCCGUGGUAUAAGUUAUCACGGUCGAGAGGGGGUAUAAAUAUCGACCGUCCAUCAUGUCGAACUUAUCUAGGAGGGAGUUAUAUAUAUCGAAAACGACGACAUACAUACAUGGGAAAAUAAUUUUAUCGGGGAGGGGGUAUAUCGACCCCCCCCCCCCACGUGUUGAAGUUAUCCGGAGGGGGUUAUAUCGACAACGACGACAUACGUACAUGGGAAAAUAAUAUUAUCGGGGAGGGGGUAUAUCGACCCCCCCUCGUGUUGAUGUUAUCGGGAGAGGGGUAUAUCGAUGACGACAGACCCAUAAAACAUAAGAAAAUGAAGAAGAAAUAAAAAGAGGAGAAGAAGAAAAGGAAUAGAGGAGAAGAUCGAANNNNNNNNNNNNNNNNNNNNNNNNNNNNNNNNNNNNNNNNNNNNNNNNNNNNNNNNNNNNNNNNNNNNNNNNNNNNNNNNNNNNNNNNNNNNNNNNNNNNNNNNNNNNNNNNNNNNNNNNNNNNNNNNNNNNNNNNNNNNNNNNNNNNNNNNNNNNNNNNNNNNNNNNNNNNNNNNNNNNNNNNNNNNNNNNNNNNNNNNNNNNNNNNNNNNNNNNNNNNNNNNNNNNNNNNNNNNNNNNNNNNNNNNNNNNNNNNNNNNNNNNNNNNNNNNNNNNNNNNNNNNNNNNNNNNNNNNNNNNNNNNNNNNNNNNNNNNNNNNNNNNNNNNNNNNNNNNNNNNNNNNNNNNNNNNNNNNNNNNNNNNNNNNNNNNNNNNNNNNNNNNNNNNNNNNNNNNNNNNNNNNNNNNNNNNNNNNNNNNNNNNNNNNNNNNNNNNNNNNNNNNNNNNNNNNNNNNNNNNNNNNNNNNNNNNNNNNNNNNNNNNNNNNNNNNNNNNNNNNNNNNNNNNNNNNNNNNNNNNNNNNNNNNNNNNNNNNNNNNNNNNNNNNNNNNNNNNNNNNNNNNNNNNNNNNNNNNNNNNNNNNNNNNNNNNNNNNNNNNNNNNNNNNNNNNNNNNNNNNNNNNNNNNNNNNNNNNNNNNNNNNNNNNNNNNNNNNNNNNNNNNNNNNNNNNNNNNNNNNNNNNNNNNNNNNNNNNNNNNNNNNNNNNNNNNNNNNNNNNNNNNNNNNNNNNNNNNNNNNNNNNNNNNNNNNNNNNNNNNNNNNNNNNNNNNNNNNNNNNNNNNNNNNNNNNNNNNNNNNNNNNNNNNNNNNNNNNNNNNNNNNNNNNNNNNNNNNNNNNNNNNNNNNNNNNNNNNNNNNNNNNNNNNNNNNNNNNNNNNNNNNNNNNNNNNNNNNNNNNNNNNNNNNNNNNNNNNNNNNNNNNNNNNNNNNNNNNNNNNNNNNNNNNNNNNNNNNNNNNNNNNNNNNNNNNNNNNNNNNNNNNNNNNNNNNNNNNNNNNNNNNNNNNNNNNNNNNNNNNNNNNNNNNNNNNNNNNNNNNNNNNNNNNNNNNNNNNNNNNNNNNNNNNNNNNNNNNNNNNNNNNNNNNNNNNNNNNNNNNNNNNNNNNNNNNNNNNNNNNNNNNNNNNNNNNNNNNNNNNNNNNNNNNNNNNNNNNNNNNNNNNNNNNNNNNNNNNNNNNNNNNNCACAGCGGCGUGGUGGUGGGAGUUUAGUCCCACCUCGCUAGCUGAGAGAGAGCCGCACCUGUUUAUAAGGUGUGGUGCGCCUGAGCUGUCGAGCUCCUCUCUAAAGAAGGCUUACGGGCCUAACCUCUCUGUACAUGCCUGUGGGCCUACUGGGCCUUCUGCGGGCCUGAAUCCUGGCCCAUGGAUGGGUUUCUAGUCGUAUUCAGGCCGUGGUGGCCCAGUAGGUGGCAUAAUUUUUAAUUUUUGGCCUGUUUUUUUAUUUUAUUUUUUGCUUUAUUUAUUUUGUUUUGUUUCUACUUACAACAAAAAACUUAUUUAUUUUAUUUUAUUUUGUUUCUAAUUACUUAUUUAUUUUACUUUAUGAUAAUUCCUUUUGCUAUUAAAGUUUCUAACAAAAAAGUUCUUUAUGAAAAUUAUUUUUGCUUUCAAUGAUUUUGAACAGAAAAUACUUCGAUAAUUUUAGUUGCAUCAAUUUUAUAUAAUUUUAGUUUCAAUAAUACUAGAGGUUGCUUAUAAUGUUUUGAACAGAAAAUACUUUGAUAAUUUUAGUUUCAUAAAUUUUAUUUAUGUUAUUAAAGUUUAUUUUAUUUUGUUUCUACUUAUAUAUUUUUUUAAAGUUUAUAUUAUUUUGUUUCUAAUUACUUAUUUAUUUUAUUUGUUAUUUUUCAUGCACCAUUUUUCAUGCAUUUACUGAUUAUUUUGAGCUAUAAAACCCUAAAAUUGAAAAGCAUUUUAAAUGAACUCUGAAAAGGUUGAAAGUUGGCAUGGUAUCAUCAUUUCAUCCACAUAGCAUGUGCAAGAAAGUUGAGAGGGUUACGGCAAAAAAUGGAUGCACUUCGUGUACAAAACAGACAAUCUCUUUCGAAGUAUCAGGAUUUCAUACGGAAACUCGUCUGUUACAAAGGGAUUUCAUUUUUUAAAACUUAUUUGAACUCCUGACUUUUUGUGUGUUCAAAAUGCACCAUUCAAAAAGCCACAUCAUCAAUUUUCAACCCUUUCUGACUUCAUUUGUUAUUUUUCAUGCAUUUACUAAUUAUUUUGAGCUAUAAGACCCUUAAAUUGAAAAGCAUUUCAAAUGAACUCUGAAAAGGUUGAAAGUUGGCAUGGUAUCAUCAUUUCAUCCACAUAGCAUGUGCAAGAAAGUUGAGAGGGUUACGGCAAAAACUAGAUGCACUUCGUGUACAAAACGGACAAUGGUAUCAUACUCGUCUGUUACAAAGUUGGCAUGGUAUCAUCAUAAUAGUUGCGGGAGAAAGUCUUCACUUUUUCUUCGCUUGUGUCAUUUGCUUAUUGCGCCGUCACCAUGGAUAAUCUUCAUCGUUUAUCAGGAUGCUUGGGUCAGCCUUGACUUUGAAGGGAGGAAUUUCAUGAAACUUUUCAUAAUCUUCAGACAUGUCUGCCUUGCCCUCCACUCCCACAAUGUCCCUUUUUCCUGAAAGAACUAUGUGGCGCUUUGGCUCCUUAUCUUUUUUUUCUCGGUCUGGUAGACAUGUCCUUCACAUAGAUAACCUGUGCCACAUCAUUGGCUAGGACGAACGGUUCGUCAGUGUACCCAAGAUUGUUCAGAUCCACUGUUGUCAUUCCGUACUAUGGGUCUACCCCGCCUCCUGACAGAUUGACCCAUUUGCACUUAAACAAAGGGACCUUAAAAUCAUGUCCGUAGUCAAGUUCCCAUAUGUCCAUUAUGUAACCAUAAUAUGUGUCCUUUUCCCUCUCGGUUGCUGCAUCAAAGCGGACACCGCUGUUUUGGUUGGUGCUCUUUUGAUCUUGGGCGAUAGUGUAAAAUGUAUUCCCAUUUAUCUCGUAUCCUUUGUAAAUCAAUACAGUCGAAGAUGGUCCCCUGGACAAUGAGUACAACUCAUCACAAACAGUGGUGUCACCUCUGAGACGUGUUUCCAACCAACUGCUGAAAGUCCUGAUGUGUUCACAUGUAAUCCAGUCGUCACACUGCUCCGGGUGUUUGGAGCGCAGACUGUUCUUGUGUUCAUCGACAUACGAGGUCACCAAGGUAAAGUUCUGUAGAACUGUGUAGUGUGCUUGAGACCAAGAAUAUCCGUCGCUGCAUAUUAUUGAGUCCCCUCCAAGCGUGCCUUUUCCAGUCAGUCUCCCCUCAUACCGCGAUUUAGGGAGACCUAUCUUCUUAAGGCCAGGAAUGAAGUCAACACAAAACCCAAUGACAUCCUUUGUUUGAUGGCUCAUGGAGAUGCUUCCUUCUGGCCUAGCGCGGUUACGGACAUAUUUCUUUAGGACUCCAAUGAACCUCUCAAAGGGGAACAUAUUGUGUAGAAAUAUGGGCCCCAGAAUGACAAUCUCGUCGACUAGAUGAACUAGGGUGCGUCAUGAUAUUGAAGAAGGAUGGUGGGAACACCAGCUCGAAACUGACAAGACAUUGCGCCACGUCACUCCUUAGCCUUGGUAUGAUUUCUGGAUCGAUCACCUUCUGAGAGAUUGCACUGAGGAAUGCACAUAGCUUCACAAUGGCUAAUCGGACGUUUUCCGGUAGAAGCCCCCUCAAUGCAACCGGAUGCAGUUGCGUCAUAAUCACGUGGCAGUCAUGAGACUUUAGGUUCUGGAACUUUUUCUCUGGCAUAUUUAUUAUUCCCUUUAUAUUCGACGAGAAGCCAGUCGGGACCUUCAUACUGAGCAGGCAUUCAAAGAAGAUUUCUUUCUCUUCUUUCGUAAGAGCGUAGCUGGAGGGACCUUCAUACUGCUUCGGAGGCAUGCCGUCUUUUUCGUGCAAACGUUGCAGGUCCUCCUGUGCCUCAAGUGUAUCUUUUGUCUUCCCAUACACGCCCAAGAAGCCUAGCAGGUUCACGCAAAGGUUCUUCGUCACGUGCAUCACGUCGAUUGAAGAGCGGACCUCUACCUCUUUCCAGUAGGGUAGGUCCCAAAAUAUAGAUUUCUUCUUCCACAUGGGUGCGUGUCCCUCAGCGUCAUUCGGAACAGCUAGUCCGCCGGGACCCUUUCCAAAGAUUACAUGUAAAUCACUGACCAUAGCAAGUACGUGAUCACCGGUACGCAUGGCGGGCUUCUUCCGGUGAUCUGCCUCGCCUUUGAAAUGCUUGCCUUUCUUUCGACAUUGAUGGUUGGUCGAAAGAAAUCGACGAUGGCCCAGGUACACAUUCUUCCUGCAUUUGUCCAGGUAUAUACUUUUAGUGUCAUCUAAACAGUGCGUGCAUGCGUGGUAUCCCUUGUUUGUCUGUCCUGAAAGGUUACUGAGAGCGGGCCAAUCGUUGAUGGUUACAAACAGCAACGUGUGCAGGUUAAAUUCCUCCUGUUUGUGCUCAUCCCACGUACGUACACCGUUUCCAUUCCACAGCUGUAAAAGUUCUUCAACUAAUGGCCUUAGGUACACAUCAAUGUCGUUGCCGGGUUGCUUAGGGCCUUGGAUGAGAACUAGCAUCAUAAUGAACUUCCGCUUUAUGCACAUCCAAGGAGAAAGGUUAUACAUACAUAGAGUCACGGGCCAGGUGCUGUGAUUGCUGCUCUGAUCCCCGAAAGGAUUAAUGCCAUCCGCUCUUAAACCAAACCAUACGUUCCUUGGGUCAGCUGCAAACUCAGACCAGUACUUUCUCUCGAUUUUUCUCCACUGCGACCCAUCAGCGGGUGCUCUCAACUUCCCGUCUUUCUUACGGUCCUCACUGUGCCAUCGCAUCAACUUGGCAUGCUCUUCGUUUCUGAACAGACGUUUCAACCGUGGUAUUAUAGGAGCAUACCACAUCACCUUCGCAGGAACCCUCUUCCUGGGGGGGCUCGUCGUCAACAUCACCAGGGUCAUCUCGUCUGAUCUUAUACCGCAAUGCACCGCAUACCGGGCAUGCGUUCAGAUCCUUGUACGCACCGCGGUAGAGGAUGCAGUCAUUAGGGCAUGCAUGUAUCUUCUGCACCUCCAAUCCUAGAGGGCGUACGACCUUCUUUGCUGCGUAUGUACUGUCGGGCAAUUCGUUAUCCUUUGGAAGCUUCUUCUUCAAUAUUUUCAAUAGCUUCUCAAAUCCUUUGUCAGGCACAGCAUUCUCUGCCUUCCACUGCUUCUCAAAUCCUUUGUCAGGUACCGAGCUUUGUGUUGCCAUCUUCGCAACUGGGGUACAACCCUUUUUUGUGAUCGUCUAACAUGCGAUCGAACUUCAGCUUCUCCUUUUGACUUUCGCAUUGCGUCCUUGCAUCGACAAUGACCCGACGGAGAUCAUCAUCAUCGGGCACUGGUUCCUCUUGAUCUUCAGCAGCUUCCCCCCUUGCAGCAUCAUUGGGCACAUCGUCUGGUUCCUCUUGAUCUUCAGCAGCUUCCCCCGUUGCAGCAUCACCGUAUUCAGGGGGCACAUAGUUGUCAUCGUCCUCUUCUUCUUCGCCGUCUUCCAUCAUAACCCCUAUUUCUCCGUGCCUCGUCCAAACAUUAUAGUGUGGCAUGAAACCCUUGUAAAGCAGGUGGGUGUGAAGGAUUUUCCGGUCAGAGUAAGACUUCGUAUUCCCACAUAUAGGGCAUGGACAACACAUAAAACCAUUCUGCUUGUUUGCCUUAGCCACUUCGAGAAAAUCAUGCACGCCCUUAAUGUACUCGGAGGUGUGUCUGUCACCGUACAUCCAUUGCCGGUUCAUCUGCGUGCAUUAUAUAUAAUUAAGUGUGUCAAAAACCAUUACAGAACAUCAUGAAUAGAUAAUUAAGUGACCAAAUUAAUAGAAGUUCAUCAUCACAUUAAAACCAAAGUACAUACAUAGUUCUCAUCUAACAACAUAUAUAUAGCUCUCCAGAGCAUCUAAUUAAUUAAACCAUACAUUGAAACUAUGUAAAACAUUUCAAUGAGAAAACAAAUGCGAUCAUAAUCGCAACCAACGUAACAAUUGAUCCAACGGCAUAAUGAUACCAAGCCUCGGUAUGAAUGGCAUAUUUUCUAAUCUUUCUAAUCUUCAAGCGCAUUGCAUCCAUCUUGAUCUUGUGAUCAUCGACGACAUCCGCAACAUGCAACUCCAAUAUCAUCUUCUCCUCCUCAAUUUUUUUAUUUUUUCCUUCAAGUAAUUGUUUUCUUCUUCAACUAAUUUUAACCUCUCGACAAUAGGGUUGGUUAGAAUUUCCGGUUCAACCACCUCCUAGAUAAAUAAAAUCUAUGUCACGUUGGUCGGCAUAUUUGUCAUAAACAAUAAAUGAACCAAAUAGUUAUAAAAAGAUAAUAUAUACCACAUCGGAAUCAUAGACAAGACGAGGGCCGACGGGGGCGGAUACCAAAACCAUCGCACUAUGUAAUAAGAAGGAAUAAUAAAAGUAACAAAAUUAGACAAGUAUCUAUCUAAAGUAAGAAUUUUUUUCUUUCAGAAAGAAGAUAAGAACAAGAGGCUCACCACGGUGGUGCUGGCGACGAGAUCGGCGCGGGCGAUCGACGGCGGUGAAGACGGGGACUGGACGUGACGGACCGCUAAACCUAGACAAAUCUCGGGGAAAAUGGAGCUUGGAGGUCGAGUUUCGAGAGGAGAAAGAUUAACUAGUAUGGCUCAGACAUUUCAUCGAACACCUGAUGUGCAUAGGAGGUGAGCUAGAGCACCCAAAUGCCCUCCCCUCGCCGGCCAGAAAAAACAGAGGACUGUGGAAUGCUCUGCUGUGGCGAUGGGGUAUAUAUAGGCAACUCAUUGGUCCCGGUUCGUGGCACCAACCAGGACUAAAGGCCUUUGGUCCCGGUUUGUGCCACGAACCGGGACCAAAGGCCUUGUGCUGCCCCGCGUCAAAAGUUUAGUCCCAUCUCGCUAGUUGAGAGAGCUCGAGAGUGGUUUAUAAGCGCUGUUGCGCCCACCCUCUCGAGCUCCUCUCAACUGUAGGCUUUCGGACCUAACCGUUCUCUUUGCCUGUGGGGCCUACUGGGCCUUCUGCGGGCCUGAAUCCUGGUCCAUGGAUGGGUUUCAAGUCGUAUUCAGGCCGUGGUGGCCCAGUAGGUGGCAUAAUUUUUUUCUCUGUUUUUUGUUUUCUCUUUUGCUUUAUUUAUUUUGUUUUGUUUCUACUUACAACAAAAAAUUUAUUUAUUUUAUUCCAUUUUGUUUCUAAUUACUUAUGUAUUUUACAUUAUUUAUUUUAUUUUUAUUUAUUUUACUGCUGCUAUUUUUAUUUAUCUUACUACUGCUAUUUUUAUUUAAUUUAUUAAGUUUUAUUUAUUUUAGUUACUAUAGUUUAUUUUAUUUUAUUUUAUUAAGGUUUAUUUAUUUUUAUUUAUUUUAUUAAGGUUUAUUUAUUUUAUUUACUAUAAAAAAUGAACAUAGAUGCGCCUAUAGAGAAAAUUCAACCUAAAUUCAUAAUAAAUUUCUAUGAAAUUCAAAGAAAUUUACAGUGAAUUUAGAUCAAAUUCCCUGUAUAAGGGCAUCUAUUUUCACUUUGAGAGGAGCUCAACAAAGCAGAGAGGGACGGGCUUAUAAACAGGUGUGAGCGCCCUUCGGUUGGCGAGGUGGGACUAAACUCUGACCGCUAGUAGGACCAACCCUUUAGCCCCGAUUUGUGGUAUGAACCGGGACUAAAGGGUGAGUCUCUGGUCCUGGUUCAAGCCACCAACCGGGACCAAUGGUGGUGGGCCAGGAGCAAGGCCCAUUGGUCCCGGUUUGUCCCACCAACCGGGACCAACGGGGUCGGACGAACCGGGACCAAUGCCCCCACGAGGCCCGGCAUGCCCCUGGCCGCACGAACCGGGACCAAUGCUCACAUUAGUCCCGGUUCGUGACUGAACCGGGACUAAUGUGAAUAUUGCCCUGUGACCAAAGCCCAGUUUUCUACUAGUGAGUGGGGAGUAACUUAGACUAGUAACAUGCAUAUUUUACUGGUCUAUAUUACUACCUCUAUAGUGGGGAGUAACAUAUGUGUGGUGUCAUACAACACUUUAUUUAUUAGGUUCUAGACUUAUCUUGUCUUGGUAUAUGUGAUGUUACUCAUAGUGUACCUAACUAGCUAUGUUACUACUUAAUCUGUCUCUUUUCUCAUUAAUUAGUUGUCACAUCAUUUAUUUAUUUUUAGGUUUCAUCUAUGUUACUAUCCACUAUGGAUCUCUACUCUUAAUGUCUGAAUUGGUAGGAUUGCGUCCACGGUUUAUUUUUGACUGGUUAUAUCUCGUCUGGUUUAUUUUCGUUCGGUUUAUUUUUGUCUCACAUACCACCACCAUAUCUCCUCACGUUGAUUUGUUUUACCCUCACAAUAAACGGGCAAGAACUGAUAGCACGUUACCAAUCAAUAAA